rnacentral:lncRNA from 1 species
UUUUUUUGUUUUUUUUUGUGGUAUUCGAGUUGCUUCGAAGUCAAGUGUUGAUUCCAUACCUUCCCUAAACGGUGUUCUCAUAUUUCUAUGUGAAUACUAAUCCUUCUUGAUCAUCGAGAUUGCCAUCUUAAUUCUAUUUCCAACCGGUGUGUUUCUCUUCGAGAUGAUACCAUCACUCUCCCCAUCCGCAAGAUCAAUUAUAAGUUUUCUCAACGGUGUUUAUUCCAUAUGCCCCAAGUUGCCUUUGUUUUCCCACCCUCCCACCCCUUUUUCUUCAAGGACUCGGAUUUCUGAUUCAAGUAUCCUUUUAUUGACGUGAAGUCUCUUCGUUCUUUUCCUCCAUGUUCUUAACUGGUGAUUUCUCAUGGAGAUGCUCAUGAAGCUUCAAGUUCAUCAUUCUUCGUUCUCAUUUUCUUCUCCGGUGGAUUCAAUUCAAGCUUUGUCGGUCAUAUCUUUUCCUUGUUUCAAAUGUUUUCUCAUGUCGGUGCAUCUCUUAAUCAUCCACUUCUUGCUAUUCAAUUGUUCUGGAGUGAUGAAGAUAUCUCAGAAGAUUCAAGUUUCCAUUCUCAAAUCACUCAAGUUCUUUUGAGGAUGCUAUCUCAUUCAAGCCAUUUAAUUCAACCGGUGAAGUCUCUCUUUUCAAUCAAUCGUUCAAUGGUGUAUCUUUUAGUGGGCCCUAACCCACAGGUCUUUUUCCAGGAUCUUACCUGACUCUUCUAAUUCUAUUCGGAGUUAUUCUCAAAUUCAUUGCAAAGUUUGACGUAAGAAUGAAUUAUCAUCAGUCAAAUGUCUUUCUCCAAGAUCUUUCAAAUUCUUUUCGUCGUUGGUUCAACCUUUCCAAUUUUCAUUAUGGAGUGCCUCAACAAUUCAUGGUGGUUCGGUCAAGAGUUCUCUUUCUUGGUUAUCAUAUCAAUUCAUUCGUUCUUUUCAAAUCCUACCGGCGGAUCGUUGAAGACUGUCGGGUGGUUGGUGCGACAUAUGCCAAGGGAUGGCUUAUCAUUGUGGGAGCCAAUAAAACGUCGCCGGUGCCCGGAAACGGGAUGAGGCGAAGACAUGCACGCCGGCGAAUCUUACCCAGGUUCGGGGCUCUCCGAGGAGAUAACACCCCUAGUCCUGCUCUGCGGGGUCUCCGCAUGAUCACUAGAUCGAUAAAGAGUAGCUACAAUCGCUCCUAGAGCUGUUGAGGUUAAGGGAAAAGAAGAGCAAGGCCAGCUCCUGCUUCUCUCUAUCUAUGGUGUGUGUGCUAUGCUCGGGUGCCAACCCUUUGCAUGGGUGCUCCGGGGGGUUUAUAUAGGCCUACCCCCCGGGGGUACAAUGGUAAUCCGACUGGGAACUGGCCCCAGCCGUCAGUGUCUACGCUCGCCGGAUUCCCCGCCGGCUGCUGGGUCCCGCCGGCUGCCGGCUACUUGGUCGACAGGCCGGUCCCACCGCCUAGGGUCUUGUCGACGGCUGCUUACUGUAGCCGCGCCUCUGAUGAUGAGGGCUUUGUCGAGGUGAGCAUGGCUACAGUGGGCCGCCUCGGGGGCUAUCACUGUAGCCUCACCUCGUCUUGUCUCCUUAAUGGGGCUCCUGCUUCGAGGAAGGGAGUAGCCCGCUUCUGGAGGCCGGCUAUACUCUUGGCCAACUAGGAAAGGCCGGGCCGCCUUCACGCCUCUCUCUGGCUGAAGGGGCCCGCAGUCCUUGGGCCGUACAGGAGUGGGUCGUGGAUGACGUUGAGGCUAGUGUGACUACAGUGCCGAGCCGCACGGGAGACGUCCGUCCCAUACGGCCUCCUGUAGCCACGCCCUCCUCGGGCUUCGGUGGUAGUGGGCUGCACUGUGGCCUCACCCCGUCACGUCGCCGUCAUGUGGGAGUGGUUGCGGUCUUGGCCGGCUCCUAGGAGUCGGCGUCCUUCUUGGACGGCUUCUUGGAGUCGGCCACCCCGUAGUCGUCCUGGGGAGGAGUCGGUGAGGCUGGGUCGCCUUCCGGGAGUCGGCUUUAGUGGUAGCCUGCCAGGGAAGGCGGCCCAACUGCUUGGAGUGCUUGAAGGCCCAAAGGCCUGAUAAUUUUUCUGAAGAGCCAGGGGUAGUCGGUAUGGCUACCCGUGGCUAUUUACUCCGACAGUAGUCCCCGAAGCUGAUUGGGCUUCGAGGUGGAGUGGGGUUCGAGAAGCUCGAACAGCUUCCUAUCGUGACAAGCCGGCAGCGGGGAGCCGGCAGCGGGGAGCCGGCCUUGGUCAGGCGCGCCACCGUAGUCGAAAUCUUCUGGAGUCGGAGGGCGGGAACCCGCUGGCACAUGCACCAGGCCGCGGGCCGGACGCGGGCCAACGGCGAGCCACGUGGCCGGAAAGCCUGCCAGCCCACGCGCGUGACGGGACGUCGCCGCAGGGAGGGGGCCCGCCACGUCCGCACCCCGGCCCAGGCGCGGAUCCUUUGUAUCCCGAAACUGCCCGCACGUUCCGUGCGGCAGUUUUGGCUCGCACUUAUGCGUAAUAAACGCGAGACGUGGGGCGAGUGGGCGCAGUUAAUCCCACGUCUCCUCCCCACGCCCGGCCUCUUCGGCCGCGUGAGGCUAUAAGUAGGGGGAGGCGGAGGGCGGCAGGCCCUCGCACGCUCCUCCUACUUCCAUCGUCUUCUUGCCUUGCUCGUUCUCGCGAUAGCGCCUCGCCGCCACGCUCUUCCUCCGCACGCGCCCCUGCCGCCGCGCUAGCUCUCACCAUGCCUCCUCACAUAGAGCAGCUUGGCGGGGAUUGGGACGGCUCCAUCGUCCAUAACGACCACAUCGACUUCCUCCGCGACACCCGGCGUCUGCCCAGUGCGGACAAAGUGGAGGUCUGCCUCGCGCCGGAGAAGGAAAUCAGGCCGGCGCCGCAGGAGGGCGAGCGGGUGGUCUUCCGCUCGCACUUCCUGCGCGGCUUCGGCCUGCCGGUGAGCGUCUUCUUCCGCUCCUGGCUGGAUUUCUAUCAGCUCCAGCCGCACCAUCUCACCCCCAACGCGGUGGUGCCGCUGUCGGCCUUCGUCACCCUGUGCGAGGGCUAUCUCGGCGUCCUCCCCACCCUCGAGCUCUGGGGGGAGUUCUUCCAGUCGAAGCUGGGCACACGCGUCAGGGGCGUGCCGGCUCAUACUGGCGCCUUCAUCGCGUCGCAGAGAUCGGGCGCCGACAACCCCUUCCCCGUCAUCACGCUAAUCCAAUCGGUGAAGAAGUGGCAGAAGUCAUACUUCUACGUGCGGAACAUCGCCCCGCGGGGCGACUACAUCAACCUUCCGGCUUACGUAGCCGGUCCACCGGCGGGCAGGCUGCCCCAGUGGUCCUUCCGGGCUGUGACGCUGUCGCCGUCAGGAAACGCCGCCAUCGCCCGACUGCGGGUGAUGGUCCAGUCGGAGGGCCUGACGGGGCCCGACCUCCUGGCCGCGUUCGUCACGCGCCGGGUUCUUCCGCUCCAGAGCCGGCCUCAUCUGAUAUGUCAGAUGAGCGGCCAGCUCGAUCCGAGCCGCAUGUGCACCAGGGAGAUGCCGCAGCACGAGGUCGCCUACAUGGUGAACUACCUCGCCAACUGCCAACUCUCUGAAGAUUGGCAAUUCGGCAAGGAGCCAUAUAGCCGUGCCAAUCCUCCGCCUGCGGUACGCUCCCCUCAUCUCUUUUUCUCUCUCUCUCUCUCAGCCUUGUCGCCGAGUUCCUCUGGGCCGACUCUAACUCAGUCGGCUUGCUCUUUUGACAGAGUCCUCUGCUUCGGCCGGCCGGCGGGACAGACGUGGAGCGCCGCUUCGUCCCCGACCGGACCGAACACGAUCAGGAGGACUCCGACCUGGGGGCGGUCCAUAUGGAGGACGCCGUCGAGCCGGCCGGUGGCCAAGCCGGCGGCGAAGCAGGCGGCUCCGGGUUCACCGCUACCUUCGACGACUGGCCGGAUGAGGAUGAAGCCGAAGCCGUCCCGCACCGCCAGCCGGCAUCCGGACGCGGCGCGGGAUCCUCCGGCGCGCAGCCUGCUCGGGGUAGAGGCCAGAAGCGUUGCGCCGCCCCGGGCUUGUUCGGCAGCCGAACGAAGGAGCCCAGGGGCGGGGCGGCCGCCACCAGGCGGGAAGAGGCGGCCGCGAAGGCGGCUCGCUUCCGCAAAGUGGUGAAGCAGCCGCAGACCAUGUCGGCGUAAGUUCUCUUUCUCUAUGUACUUUCUUUCUUUCUUUGGUGGUUCUUGAACCUUUGUCUUCUUUUCUUUCGACGAUCAGAGCUCCGCUGUCACUUGAGCGGGCGGCUGCCGGCUCCGUUGUCGAGUCGCCAGGGGGCUCUGGGAGCACCACCCGCCGCGUAGAUCCCCACGCCGCCCUCCAGGAGGCGACGGAAAGGAAUGCGCGGGAGGUGCGGGAGGAGCAGGAAGCGCGGGAGGCGGAAGCACGGAAGGCAGCCGCCGCCCAGGCGGCUCGGGAGGAAGAGGCGGCGAAGGCGCUCGCCGAGGCCGCAGCCAAGGCCCAGGCGGAGGCUGAGGCUGAGGCGGCGGCAGGGGAGGCUUUGAUGGUCACCCCCCUGCGCACCAUGGCGCCCGGGGACGUGGAGCCCUCGCCAAGGGGAGCCAGCGGUUCCCAGCCGGGGCUGCGAGGAAGCGACUACGACGUCAUUAUCUUGGAGAAGGCGCCGAAGCCGACUCCUCCGACUAGGGCGGCCCAAGGCGGCCAGCCUGAGCCUGCGCCCGCACAGUCGGCGGAGGGCGAGCCGGCCGCGGGAGCUGAGGUGGCGGUCCUGGUUCCUCCAAGCCGGCGUGCAGGGAAGGCCGCGUCGGAGCCGCAGAAGGCUGCGUCGGAGCCACAGCCGGCCGUGGGCUCCAGCUCGUCGGCCCGAGACGCGAAGGUGGCCAGCGCUACCUCGGGGUGGAUGCCGGGCGAAGGGACAGCCGUGGUGAACGUCGCUGCACAAGACGUCCGGACCCGGCUCCAAAGCCAAGCCGCGGCGCUGAGGCAGUUCACCGACGAAUUCCUCGCAACGCGGGCAGCCAUCCGGGUUAGCAUUCCUAUCUUGUUCUUUCUUGAUCUUGAUUUCUCUCGUCGGGGCGCGUCAGCGCACCCACUGGGUGUAGUCCCCGAGUUCCGAGUCGGCUGCUGAGCAGGCGGCUUGGAACUUCUUGGAGAUUUGGCUUUGCUGCUUUUGUUCUCACUUUGGUCUUCUGUCCGUCUUGCAGGACUACCACAACCUCCGAGCGGCCGCCUUCAACUCCCAGGCUCGGGAGCUGACUCAGAAGACCGCCGAUCUUACUGAGAGCCGAGGUAUGUGACUUGAUCUUUAUCUCAUGUGGGGGCGCGUCAGCGCACCCACUGGUUGUAGUCCCCGAGAUUCGGGCCGACUGCUGAGCAGUCGGCUCGGAUCUUCCUUGAUGAUUUCUCAUUGUUCUUCUUCUUCUUCUAUCUCUGCAGCGGCCAACGCCAGUCUGAGGGCACAGCUAGGGGAGUCCCAGACUGCUCUUCGUGCCAAGGACGCGGAGCUCGCCGCCUUGGUGCAGGAGCGCGACCGCCUGGUCAAGAAGCUGGCCGACCAGGAGGAAAGCCACAAGGCGGCACUGAAGGCUGCGCAGGAUCGCGAAGCCACCCUCCAGGCCGAGUUUGAGACGGAGGCGGCCGGCUGGGCAGAGGCCAGGCAGACUCUGGUCUCCGGCUAUGGCCAGAUCGAGGAUCUGGUUGACGGUAAGUCGUCUACCCCUUCGUCCUUUCUUGCCAUCUGACACUUUGACUUGUUUUUCUGAUUUUGGUGUUCUUCUUAUCUUUUCUUCUUCGCGCAGAGUACUUUCCCGGCUAUUCAACUGCCACCAACCAGGCCAUCGAAGCCCGUCGCCAGGCGAAGAGGCAAGCCGGCUUCGAGAUCUCGCCAACCGCCGGCCAUUCGCUGGAGGAACAGCUCCUGGCGAUCCAGGCUCGCAUCCAGCCGGCUCACAGGCUGCUCCGCCGGCUUCAGCGCGCGGGGUCGCAGGUCUUGGCCGCCCUCUGGCCCGGCCAAGUGGUCCCUCGCACCCCCAGUCGGAACGCCGACUGGCUGGAGGUGGCAGUCGGCCGCUUCGAGGCUUGGAAGGCGUCAGCGGCUCGCUCCGGCGCCAGGCGGGCGCUGGAGUUCGUUAAGGCCUGGUAUCCCAGCCUGAACCUGGACCAGCUGGCUACCUGGCGGCAGCAAGCCGACACGGAGCUGGAGCCGGCGCGGCCGGCCAUCAUUCGGCGAGCUUCAGCGAUCGCCGACUACACCGACACCAACGUCUUCGCCCCCGAGGUGGACGACAAUGGAGUCGCCCAGCCGGAAGAUUGGUUCGGGCUGGACCCAGCGUACGGCGAGGACUCGGCGGAGGAGAUCGACUCCAGCGACGAGGGCGAAGAGGAGGAGGAGGAGGAGGGUGAAGACGCCGAGCCGGCUGGUGGAGUAGCCGGCCAGCCUGACCGCGCCUCCAGCACUACUUCGCGUGCGAGUGCGUCUCCUGCCGCAGGAGGUGGUCCAGCCAGGACCAGCUAGGCGGCCACUCCUUCAGCCGGCGAGGCCGCCUUCCCCGACCAGCUCGGCCUUCAUGUCGCGCCUUAGUCUUCUUUCUUUUGUUUUCCUGUCUUGUUACUUUUGAACAAUGUUUGGUUAAGUCUGCACAAUUCCACCCACUGGGUGUAUUCAAACUCAAGUCUGUUGCCGGCCUGUAGGCGGCUUUAUGUAUAAAAGUUAUGCAAUCGGUCUUUCCUUGUACUUUUGCUUUUUGUCCUUCUGCUUUUUUCCUUUGCCGCCCUCCCUUGGUUGCCGCCUCCCUAGUCAAACAGUUGCUCUGCAAUCUGUAGCCGAGGAGUGCCUGGCCGAUUGGGGAGGGGGAAGUACUUUUAGCUUUGCCGGACUUAAGCUAAAUUUUUUUUAGGAAGCCGACCAGCCGGCUGUUUUGACAGCCGGCAGGCAUAUUUGGAGGCCGUCUCUUUGCUAUAUAGGUAAGUUGUUCCUUAGCCGUUUUUCGUGUGGGCGUCCUUUCUGUCUUUCCUCUUGCUAGUCGGACAGUCAGUUCUUUGAGCUGCGACUUUCAACAAGGGAGGACUCGGGAGCCGGCGCACUACUUUGCUGACUUUAGGAAGAACUUUCGAUAUAGCUCAAGGCGGCCAAUCCCCGGGCCGACUAGUCGAACCCGGUGCCGGACAAGAAUUCAAAAUGUAAUAACACAUUCAAGGAUAUGACACUUGUCAUUCAUAGAUAAAUAAAAGGCAGUCCCCGAGUACUGCUCGGGGGGCCUGUUGGUUUGUACUUUAAUACAAAAGGGGAGCGUGAUACAUACUGCUUUUCAGCUGUAAAAUCGUCUUAGGAGGUUUGCGUUCCAUGGUCGCUCCGACUCCUUGCCGGAGUCGUCUCUCUUGCGUGCUCUUGGUUUUUGCGCGUCGAUCAAGUAGUAGGAGUCGUUGCCGAGUGCCUUGCUGAUGACGAAGGGGCCUUCCCAAGGAGCCGAGAGCUUGUGCUGGCCGGCUGUUCGCUGGAUCAGCCGGAGCACAAGGUUGCCCUCUUGGAAGGAUCUUGGCUUGACCUUGCGGUUGUAGUAGCGGCGUAGGCCUUGCUGGUAGAUGGCGGACCGGCUGAGGGCUAACAGCCGGCCUUCUUCCAGUAGGUCGACGCCGUCUUCUCUUGCUUCUUUGGCUUCCUCCUCCGUGUACAUGGUGAUCCGAGGCGAGUCGAACUCGAUGUCUGUUGGGAUGACAGCCUCGGCACCGUACACAAGGAAGAAUGGAGUGAAGCCGGUUGACUUGUUGGGUGUAGUGCGCAGACUCCAGAGGACAGCCGGCAGUUCUUCGAGCCAGCAGCCGGCCGAUCGCUCCAGUGGUACAACCAGUCGGGGCUUGAUGCCAGAGAGGAUAAGUCCAUUUGCUCGCUCGACCUGGCCGUUUGACUGCGGGUGGGCAACAGACGCUAAGUCCAGUCGGAUGCCCUGCGACGCGCAGAAACGUGCCAGUGCGCCUUUGGCGAAGUUCGUGCCGUUGUCGGUGAUGAUGCUGUGCGGCUCGCCGUACUGAGUAGUGAUGUCGGUGAUGAAUGUCACGGCAGUCGGCCUGUUCAGCUUCUUAAUUGGCUUGGCUUCAAUCCACUUUGUGAACUUGUCCGCCGCAACGAGUAGGUGUGUCAAGCCACCGCGGGCUGUCUUGAAAGGGCCCACCAUGUCCAGUCCCCAGACGGCAAAAGUCCAGGUGAGGGGAAUGGUCUUGAGGGCAGAAGCCGGCAGGUGUUGUUUGGAACUGAAGACUUGACAUCCUCUGCAGCUCUUGACUAUUUCUUUAGCAUCCUCCAAGGCAGUCGGCCAGAAGAAACCAUGGCGGAAAGCCUUGGCCACGAGGGAUCUUGAGGCGGCGUGAUGGCCGCAUUCACCUUGGUGGAUGUCUUUGAGGAUUGCCACUCCUUUUUCUGGCUCGACGCAACGCUGGAAGACUCCAGUGACGCUGUGCUGCACAAGCUCCCUGUUGAUUAUUGUGUAUGCUGCGGCUCGUCGUUGCACUAGUCUUCCUACGAUCUCAUCAGCCGGCAGCUCUCUGCUGACUAGGAACUUGAGGAUGGGCUGGGCCCAUGAGGGAGCUGUGACUUCUUCUGCUGUUAAUGUGGCCACCAUGACUCGGGUGGGUGGGUUGGGUGUUGCAUUGGAGUCGACCACCGCUUCUUGUGUCGUUGCAGUCCCCGGGCCGACUGCUGCAGUCCCCGGGCCGGGUUCUGAAGUCCCUGGGCCGGGUGCGACUACGUCAGUUCCCGGGGCAGUCGUUGAAGUUCCCGUGCCGCCUGCGGGGUUUCUUGAGCCGGAUCCGGCUGUUUCUGGCGCAGCCGGUACGAAGAUGGAAUCCGACUCUGGAGACGGCUUGAUGGACGGCUUGAGGAGGCGCUGGAGGGAGACGCCAGUCGGUAUGCCUUGUCGGGUGGAGCCGAUCCGUGCUAGGGCAUCUGCUUGGUCGUUGUCGGCCCUUGGCACGUGAAGGAACCAGCACCCUUCGAAGUAUCCGCUCAUCUGCUGGACGAGGAAACGGUAGCUCGCCAUGUUCGCGUCCUUGGCGUCCCAGUCGCCAGAUGAUUGCUGGACCACCAAGUCUGAGUCGCUGUAGCACAGGAUCCGGCGUAUGCCGAGUUCUUUGGCUAGCCGGAGCCCAUGUACGAGCGCCUCGUACUCGGCCACGUUGUUGGAGGCGGCGAAGUGGAUCUGCAGCGUGUACUUGAGCUUGUCGCCCUUGGGAGAGGUGAGGACGAUGCCGGCUCCCAAGGCGGUGCGCAUCUUGGACCCGUCAAAGUGCAUCCGCCAAUGGGUAGAGUCGGGAGCCGGCGGUAAGUACUGGGUCUCGGCCCAGUCGACGAGGAAGUCGGCCAACGCUUGCGACUUGAUGGCGGUGCGGGGUUGAUAAAAAAUCGUGUAGGGCGCCAAGGCAAUGGCCCAUUUGGCCACCCGGCCGGAUGCAUCCCGGCUGCCUAUGAUCUCGGCGAGCGGGGCAGUGCACACGACCGUGAUGGGGUGCUCUUGGAAGUAGGGCUUCAAUUUCUUGGCAGCGAAGUACACCCCAUAGCACAUCUUCUGGUAGUGCGGGUAGUUUUGCUUUGAGCUGGACAGUACUUCGCUGAGAUAGUAGACCGGCCUCUGGACCAGCUGGGCUCGGCCUUCCUCCGGGCGCUGGACCACAACAACAGUGCUGACGACUUGGCUUGUCGCGGCGAUGUAGAGGAGCAUGGGCUCCUUCUCAGUCGGCGCAGCCAGGACAGGCGGAGUGGUCAACAUUUUCUUCAACUCAUGGAAGGCUUGGUCGGCUUGUUCAUUCCACUCAAAGUGAGUGGACUUCUUCAUGAGUCGGUACAGAGGGAGAGCCUUCUCUCCUAGUCGGCUGAUAAAACGGUUCAGGGAGGCUAAGCAGCCAGUGAACUUCUGCACAUCUCGCAGCUUGGUGGGAAUCUCCAUCCUCUCGAUGGCCUUGAUCUUGACAGGGUUGCACUCAAUGCCGCGUUCGGAGACCAGGAAGCCUAGCAGCUGGCCGGCUGGCACUCCGAACACGCACUUCUCGGGGUUGAGCUUGAUCUGGAAUCGGCGCAAGUUGGCAAAUGUUUCCUUCAGGUCUUCCAGCAAGGUACCGCGCUUCUCUGUCUUCACCGCAAUGUCGUCUACGUAGACGUGGGCAUUUCUGCCGAGUUGUUUCAAGAGACAUUUCUGCAUGCAACGCUGAAAAGUGGCACCGGCAUUUCUCAAGCCGAAUGUCAUUGUCAGGUAGCAGAAAGCUCCAAAGGGUGUGAUGAAGGCAGUCUUCAGGCGGUCAGCCGGGUCCAACUUGAUCUGAUGAUACCCUGAGUAUGCAUCCAAAAAACUUAACAGCUCGCAUCCGGCUGUGGAGUCUAUCACUUGGUCAAUCCGUGGCAAAGCAAACGGAUCCUUUGGGCAGGCCUUGUUCAAACUUGUGUAGUCUAUACACAUGCGCCACUUGUUAUUCUUCUUCAAAACUAGAACUGGAUUGGCGAGCCAUUCUGGAAAGAACACUUCCAUGAUGAAGCCGGCUGCAAGGAGCCGGGCUAUCUCUUCUCCCACGAUUCUUCGCUUCUCUUCUGAUAGUCGGCGGAGGGGUUGCUUGACCGGCUUCGCAUCAGCUCGGACAUGUAAUUUGUUCUCGGCGAAAUCCUUCGGGACACCCGGCAUGUCCUUUGGGGACCAUGCAAAGAUGUCUCGAUUCUCACGGAGGAAGUCGACGAGCUCGCCUUCCUAUUUACUGUCCAAGUUCGCCCCAAUCACGGCGAACCUCUCCGGGUGCUCCGGGUCUAGAGGUAUCUUUUUCGUCUCUUUGGCAGGCUGGAAGGAGCCCUGCGCAUCACAGUCCUUGGGGUUGGGGGACAAGGCCGGCUGCUUGCCGGCCAUGGCCACAACCCGUUCCAACAUUUUCUUCUCUUCUGCCACCACGAGGGACUCGGCCAGCCGGCUGCUGGCCUUGGCACACUCAAUGGACUUCUUGUAGUCGCCGGCUACCGUGAUGAUCCCCUUCGAGCUCGGCAUCUUCAUCUUCAGGUAGGCGUAGUGGGGCACAGCCAUGAACUUGGCCAAGGCAGGUCGGCCAAGUAGUGCAUGAUAGGGGCUCUCCAAAUCCACCACCUCGAACCAUAUUGCUUCCCGGCGGAAGUGAUCUUUGUCUCCGAAGAGAACAUCCAUCUUGAUCUUGCCGAUUGGAGAGCAAGAUAGGCCGGGUACGAUACCAUGGAAGACGGUGCGGCUCGGCAUGAGCUGCUUUGCUUUGAUGUUCAGCUUGUCCAUGGUAUCGCGGUACAGUAUGUUGAUACUGCUUCCGCCGUCUAUCAGGACGCGGGAAAAUCUGGCAGCUCGCCUCUCCGUCGCAAGGGUGACGUCCAAGACCAUAGCAUAGGAGCCAGGCGAGGGCAUCACCUCUGGGUGGUUGGCCUGGCUCCAGCUGAUGGGCUUUUCCGACCAGUGCAUGAACUCGGCGGUGCUAGAGGCGACUGCGUUUACUUCUUGGUGCUGCCGGCGUCGGCUGCGCUUGUCGUCGACUUGACUGGUGAAAACGACGUAGGCGUCGUGCGCUUCGGGGAACUCGUCUUGGAUGGCGCCGACUGCCGGCCGGGCCGCCGGCUGCUGGGGAGCUGGAGGCGGCGGGCCGGGAGGCGGAGGCGGCACCAUCCCUUCGCCCUUGGUGAUGCGGGUGAGCCAGUGGCAUUUCCGUGUUGUAUGGUUGGACGGCUUUGCGCCGCUGUGGAACUUGCAGGGACCAUCGAGUGCUUGUUCGUAGGAAAAAGAAGGCUGCCAAGGCGGCUGGCCACCCUUCUUCUUGGGAGCGGGCCGCUCUUCGGGCUACUCGUCUUCAAUUGUGGCCACCUGCCGACUAGAGGAAGUCGGCAUGGGGCCCUUGCGCUUGUGGUCGUUCUGGUAGGGGCGCCGGUUAGGGUCGCCAGCCGGCGUCUUGGGAGCCGGAGCAAUUACUUUCCCCGAGGCGUCUACUCGGAGCUCGGUCUUCAUGGAGGAGUCGGCAGUGGCGUACUUGUCAGCAAUGACUAGUAGCUCGUCGAGGGUAGCCGGCUCGUCGCAGAGGAGUCGGUGCUUGAGGAGGGUGCCCUCUCGGCACCCGGCAGUGAAGUACUCGAUGGCUUGGACCUCGUGCACUCCCUCGCAGGAGUUGCGGAGCUCGGCCCAUCGCGUGAGGUAGUCGCGGGUCGACUCGUUGGGCCCCUGGACGCAGAGGGAGAGCUGGCGAGGCUUGGGAGGCCGCUUGUAGGUGCUGGUGAAGUUGCGGACGAAAACUUCGGUGAAGUCCAGCCAACUGUUGAUGCUGUAGGGCUUGAGGCUGUUGAGCCAUGUGCGCCGUGCCCUGCAGCAUCAGGGGGACGUACUUCACGGCAACGCGCCGAUUGCCGUUGGCGAUGCUGACGGCUGUGGAGUAGUCGAUGAGCCAAUCUUCCGGCUUCACCGAGCCGUUGUACUUGGGCGUGUCUCUGGGAAGCGAGAACCCUUUGGGAAAGGGCUCGUCGCGGAUGCGGGGGCCAAAGCAUGGCGGGCCGACAUCGUCUUCUUCUCGUAGCGCCAAGGAUCGAGCAAGGCGGUCGAUCCUGUCGCGGGCAUCGUUUUCGCCGACUCCUUCUCGGCGGCCGAGUCGGUCGCCAAGAGUCGGAUGGGUGACAGGCGGUGGAGUGAGGCGUCUUUCUCUUCGAGGCGGGGGAGAAGGCAGGUUUCCCUGGUGCUCUACAGCUCAAGGGCGGCCAUCCGCGUCGCGCUCGAUGGUAAUCCGAGUCCGGCUGCGGCUGGCAGCCGGCUCCUUGUCUUUCUUCUGGCGCGCGCCGCUCGCAGUCGGCGAGCGGGACGUCGCGGCGUGCUCCCGGCGCGGGGGAUGGCUAUCAGCUCGGGCGCCGGCUUCGUUCCGUUCUGCAGCCGCGUCGAUCAGCUGCUGGAUCCGUCUUGUCAUGUAAGGGAGCUCAUCGGCUCCCAGCCCAUUGAGCUCCUCUGCAGCCGCCUGAGCGGCUCGCAGAUUCUCGAGCGGGGUGGCGUAGACGGGGCGAUCUGCGCCCAGCAUGCUGGCAACGGCUGCGCCGCGCUUCUGGACGAAGCCGGCUCUGCUCGGGCCGCUAGGCGGCGGCGUCCCGAAGGCGGCACGGUCGACCUCGCGCUGGUGGGCCUCGGUGAGGCGUCUCAUCGAGGCUAUCUUCUUGCCCUCCGCGAUGAGGGCAAGGCGGCGUGCCUCCAGGGUCUCGGCAUCGGGGUCGGCCGGGAUGGGGACGGAGAGGUCGUGCAUCGCCGCUUGCUGAGCGUCGCGGGCGUUCUCGCCCGAGUUGGAGACGUGGCUGAUGACCAGCACUUCGGUGACAGCGCUGCUGCCGCUGUCAGCUCGAGGGAGGGGGUCGUCGAAGACCACCACGUCGGAGGGGUAGGCGUCGAGCGACGCGGUGUCGGAGUCGAUGAGCAUCGGGUCGGUGGAGCCGACAGACUCCAUGUCCGCAGCAGGCUCCCUGGAGACGUGAAGUUGGUCGAGGAGGCUGACGAGGCGGCUCUCGGGGUAGUCGGUGCCUGCGUCGGACGCAGGCUCGUCGGAGAUGCGAGUCUCGCCGAGCAGAUCGGCGAGGCGGCUCGCUGCGCAAGCGUCGUCGACGCCUUGCAGCGCGUCGAGGCAAGCGCCAUCGGGCGCAGCAGGCUGGCUGCGCUCGCGGGGGAGGAAGAGGGUUCCCGUCCAGAACAGGUCUCCGGACGACGGUGCACCUGUGCCCCACGGUGGGCGCCAAAUGUCGGGUGGUUGGUGCGACAUAUGCCAAGGGAUGGCUUAUCAUUGUGGGAGCCAAUAAAACGUCGCCGGUGCCCGGAAACGGGAUGAGGCGAAGACAUGCACGCCGGCGAAUCUUACCCAGGUUCGGGGCUCUCCGAGGAGAUAACACCCCUAGUCCUGCUCUGCGGGGUCUCCGCAUGAUCACUAGAUCGAUAAAGGGUAGCUACAAUCGCUCCUAGAGCUGUUGAGGUCAAGGGAGAAGAAGAGCAAGGCCAGCUCCUGCUUCUCUCUAUCUAUGGUGUGUGUGCUAUGCUCGGGUGCCAACCCUUUGCAUGGGUGCUCCGGGGGGUUUAUAUAGGCCUACCCCCCGGGGGUACAAUGGUAAUCCGACUGGGAACUGGCCCCAGCCGUCAGUGUCUACGCUCGCCGGCUUCCCCGCCGGCUGCUGGGUCCCGCCGGCUAGUGGGUCCCGCCGGCUGCCGGCUACUUGGUCGACAGGCCGGUCCCACCGCCUAGGGUCUUGUCGGCGGCUGCUUACUGCGCCUCUGAUGAUGAGGGCUUUGUCGAGGUGAGCGUGGCUACAGUGGGCCGCCUCGGGGGCUAUCACUGUAGCCUCACCUCGUCUUGUCUCCUUAAUGGGGCUCCUGCUUCGAGGAAGGGAGUAGCCGGCUUCUGGAGGCCGGCUAUACUCUUGGCCGACUAGGAAAGGCCGGGCCGCCUUCACGCCUCUCUCUGGCUGAAGGGGCCCGCAGUCCUUGGGCCGUACAGGAGUGGGUCGUGGAUGACGUUGAGGCUAGUGUGGCUACAGUGCCGAGCCGCACGGGAGACGUCCGUCCCGUACGGCCUCCUGUAGCCACGCCCUCCUCGGGCUUCGGGGGUAGUGGGCCGCACUGUGGCCUCACCCCGUCACGUCGCCGUCAUGUGGGAGUGGUUGCGGUCUUGGCCGGCUCCUAGGAGUCGGCGUCCUUCUUGGCCGGCUUCUUGGAGUCGGCCACCCCGUAGUCGUCCUGGGGAGGAGUCGGUGAGGCUGGGUCGCCUUCCGGGAGUCGGCUUUAGUGGUAGCCCGCCAGGGAAGGCGGCCCAACUGCUUGGAGUGCUUGAAGGCCCAAAGGCCUGAUAAUUUUUCUGAAGAGCCAGGGGUAGUCGGUAUGGCUACCCGUGGCUAUUUACUCCGACAAAGACUUUUCUCAAGUUUGAGCAAUAUCUCUCUUCAAUCCUUUUUCAACGAGAAUAAGUAGUAUGUCAAAUCCGUUGCUUGUCAUCAAUCUAAAUUGGUGAAGGAUACGUAUAACAUAAUUCUUGUUCUUGUUUCAUCCAAGUGAUUAAUUCCUUCUUCCGGAGUUCCAAGUUUUUUUUCCGCAUUAUCUCGUCGCGAAGCUCCAUCGAAAUCAUUGCAAGGCUUCACCUUGUGUUUUCAACUUCUCUCUCUUUCUAUCAUCCUUGUUUUACCGGAGUUCUUCAUGGAAGGUUCACAUGGUGCUUCGUCAAGGAUUCCUUUCAUUCUUCAAUUGUUCUUCAAGAUUUCUCUCGGAGUCAAGAUUCGUCAAGCUAUACUCUAAAAUAAACAUGGUGCACAACACAUGUUUGUUUUGAGGAGGUCAAGCACUCUUCGUCUUGCGUUCCGAAAUGCAAUUCGUUUUACCUUAUCUUUUGAGAUGGCGUUAUAUCAUUCUUGUCGAUUUCCAUUCAUGUUUCGCGAUUCACAUGUUGUCAAGUAUGAGGUAUUUUAAAUCCAUCAAUCUCUUCGUUGGAGUUAUCUUGUGUCAUGUUUCACCUAAAGUCUUCCCUAAGGAAUGUUGCUAUUAUGGUGCUUAUCAAUGAUCCAAGUUUUCUCCUAUCCUCUCGGCAAGAGAAGUUUUCAUCUCUUCGUUGAUCUCAAGCAAGCAAUUGUUUUCGUUAGUGGCAGAAUUUCACCUCAAGUUUUGAGAUGUCUCCAUAAGCCCACGAAGAUCAUAUUCUUUCUUUGUUGAUUUUUUUCAAAAAUUCCAUUUUAUCCUUCUUUUAAGGAUGCUCUCUCAAAUUCAAUUAGGGUAGAACAUGUUGUUUUCUUCUCCGUUCUUUUCAUUGCAUUCUUUCAUUUCUACCGGAGGGAUUGUGAUUUUGCUCUCUUCGACCCAUCUUCUUGUUUUGUCAAGAUCUUCUUUUUUUCCUUGCUUAUCCAUUUAACCGGAGUGUUGUGUCAUCUCUUCAAUUUCUUUUCAUCUUAUCAAGUUUUCCUUCUCUUUUUCAACCGGAGUGCUGUAAAAAUAAUGUCAUUCUUGUUCCUUGGCUAUCUCGUUAUACCGGUGUGGUUUCAUAUUCUUUUGGCUCGUUAAGCCCUUGUUUCAUGUCUUUCAACCCACAAGGUUCUCAUAAUGUUACUUGUUCCCCUUUUCUAACGGGGUGUUUGUAAUCUCAUCCAUCUCCGUUGUAUUCUUUUCUCAAAAUUGUUUAACCUCUCAAGGUUCGUGGUUUCACUAUUUUGUCAAAGAAGCAACUUUGUUUUACCUCUUCCCCUUCCGUUUUUCUACGGUGCCAUCCUAGAUCUCGGGACGAGAUCCUCUUGUAGUGGUGGAGUGUUGUAACGCCCCGAGAUCGACGCUCCAGACGCCUGCCAUGUUUUGCGUGACCGUCGUGUGUUUAUUUUUUUGUUGCUUUCAUCAUGUCUUCAUUUGUAUUGCAUCGGCACUCGUUGCCGUCAUUGUUUUCAAACUUGCAUCCGCUUGUAGUUACCGCUCCUCGUUUCUCUCCGUUGCGUUCGUUGACCGAACCGAGUUCAAUCGGGUUUUCGCUUCCCUCUUGACCGUGACCACCUAACCUCUUUUGCCAGCUCGCAGCCCCCUCGCCCGUGCCCGAGAACUGUCCCGAACCUGAACCGCUCAGUCAUCACCGUUGGGUCCAGAUCAUCCCCCAACAUCCCUAUAAAAUCUCCGUUUUCUUAUUUGGACUCCCUAGCCUAUCUAUUCUCGACCGCCCGAUUACGAUCGGAUAGACCAGAUUAGCCCCUAACCAAAAUCCAUGCUAUUUAAACAGAUCAAACCCUAGUCGCUAGUUGUCCCAUCCAUCCAUUCCCUCACCUGCCGCCGCCACUCCCUUCCUCGGGAUCCCUCCCGAUCCAGCCGCCAGCCCACCUGGUCUCCUCCUCGUCUCUCCCACUGAGCCAACCACCAUCCAUCUCAGACUCAUCUCCCUCCAACCGCAGCCUCCGACCACCUCCCGUGAUCUUCGCGCCACCAAAAAUCCCUAGCGCCCGCAACCCUCCUCCUCGCUCGAUCCCGAGCGGGAGAGGACUCCAACGCCUCCUCUGCUUCGUCCCGCGCGCACGAGCCUAACGGGAGAGGAGCUCCUCCACGCCGUGCUCCUCACCAACGCCCGAAGCCUCGCUCCCAGCCUCCCGCAAGCAGAGGCCCCACGAACCUCUCGCUCCCUCGUGCUCGCCGCUCCUCCCGUUCCAACGCGCCCUCCGGUGACCCCGACCAGGACUGGCCUCGUCCCGCUCCUCUCCUCAUGUUUUUUUCCUCUCUCUCUGUCUCACGGUGGCCCUCUCUCUCCUUCCCAGGAACGAGCAAGAUCUCGCCCAAGCUCCAUGGCGCCGCUGCCGUCGUCCUGCUUCGUCUGGUGACCUCCGAGUAGCGCCACCCGCCAGAUCUGCUCGAGCUCGCCUCGCCCCUGCGCCUCAAGUCCCGCGUCGCCAAGCCGCCUCCCUGCCCUCGAGUCCGUCUAGUUCCGCCGUCCGCCGUGGCCGUGGAGCUCGUCGGCGUCGUCCUCAUGCUCGUUCCAGUCCCGCUGCCGCCGUUCCCCUGCCAUGGCGCCUCGGCCUCCUCUGCUGCCCGCUCGCCCGCUCGUUCACCGCAUCGACCUCCCCUGCUCCAUCUCGUGGCCCAGCUCCAGCCACUCCCGCACCGCACCAGGCCCAGAUCCGCCAGCCCAAGCCAGCUCCGUUGUAACACCCCGCAUGUAACUUGCCAUAUCUGUAACUCCGACUCUUGCCAUUUCCGGCUAUGUGAUAUGUUAUUCCCUCCGUUGUCGGGUUUUGUCUUUCGUUUUGUAUUUUGUCUUGUCUUGCAUUUUCAUAUCAUGUCAUCAGGUGCAUUGCAUUCGCAUACGUGUUCGUCUCGUGCAUCCGAUCAUUUUCCCCGUUGUCCGUUUUCCAAUCCGGCGCUCCUAUCUCCUCCGGUGCACCCUUCUAGUUUUCUUUCAUGUGCGUGUGUCAAACUUUCUCGGAAUGGACCGCGGCUUGUCAAGUGGUCUUAAUAUACCACCCGGAGACUACCGGUCAAGUUUCGUUCCAUUCGGAGGUCGUUUGGUACUCCAACGGUUAACCGGGCAUCCGCAAAGUCCAUUUGAGUAUCCAGCAAAACCCCCUCCAAAACCAGCCCAAAACCCACCAAACUCUCUUCCAUGCUCUAGGUCGUUCGAUCACGAUCGUGUGGGCGAAAACCGCACCUCAUUUGGAGUCUCCUAGCUCCCUCUACCUAUAAAUAAGUGGGCAUCCCGAAAACGAAACCGCAGUCUAACCCUAGCCCUCGUCCCACUCCGCCGCCGGACACGUCCGGGCGGAGCCGGACACGUCCAACCGCCCCGCCGCCGCCACGUGUCGCCGCCGGGUCCUCCCGCCGCGCCGGCCCGCCGGGCCCGUGACCNNNNNNNNNNNNNNNNNNNNNNNNNNNNNNNNNNNNNNNNNNNNNNNNNNNNNNNNNNNNNNNNNNNNNNNNNNNNNNNNNNNNNNNNNNNNNNNNNNNNNNNNNNNNNNNNNNNNNNNNNNNNNNNNNNNNNNNNNNNNNNNNNNNNNNNNNNNNNNNNNNNNNNNNNNNNNNNNNNNNNNNNNNNNNNNNNNNNNNNNNNNNNNNNNNNNNNNNNNNNNNNNNNNNNNNNNNNNNNNNNNNNNNNNNNNNNNNNNNNNNNNNNNNNNNNNNNNNNNNNNNNNNNNNNNNNNNNNNNNNNNNNNNNNNNNNNNNNNNNNNNNNNNNNNNNNNNNNNNNNNNNNNNNNNNNNNNNNNNNNNNNNNNNNNNNNNNNNNNNNNNNNNNNNNNNNNNNNNNNNNNNNNNNNNNNNNNNNNNNNNNNNNNNNNNNNNNNNNNNNNNNNNNNNNNNNNNNNNNNNNNNNNNNNNNNNNNNNNNNNNNNNNNNNNNNNNNNNNNNNNNNNNNNNNNNNNNNNNNNNNNNNNNNNNNNNNNNNNNNNNNNNNNNNNNNNNNNNNNNNNNNNNNNNNNNNNNNCGGCCGGCGACCCCCACCGCCGGCCGCGCCCUCCAGCCUCGCCUCCUCCUCUCCCCCCUCUCUCCGGCAGAGGACGCCGGCGAGCUCCUCUGUCCCGAGCGACGAGCUCGGGCUCGAGCGACAGCCAGAUCCGAUCGGUACUCUGCCCCAUUGACUUCCUCGCGCCCGUUUUUAUUUCCAAGUCCCAGAAUUUUCUCAGCAUAUGCUCCUGUUCCCGAUGCGAUAACUUUGUGCAUGUAGCUCCAAUUCGCGCGUAUAAUAUGUCAAAUUGUUCGCCUCGUGAUGCUCUUCAUUUUGUUCAAUUGCAUCAUUUUCAUUAGAGGUCAUCUUGAUGCCUAAAUCUUCGUUGGAAGAGGGCUAGUUGCUGUUAAUCUCUGGUUCUUGUCAGAACUUGGAGAUUUGCAUUUUUGUAUCAUUUAUUCUGUGCAUCUUUUGAGCAUGAGCUCUACAUGUGUUUUGAAGUAUGCCAUGCCAUCUUUCCGGUGGUAUAGCCCAUGUAUUUGUUUGGUCUUUUUGGUGACUAGCACAAGCAUGAAAAGUAGGCCCCGUAAUAUUUCUGAUUUCAGGGACUUCGUGAUUUCUGCAAGUCCUAGUCUACUGUAAUUUUGUUGCCAUGUAAACUUGAUGUUACAGAGAGAUCCAUGCAUAUUUUGGAGAUGUUCAGUAAGGAUGUUUUGUAGCUAUAGUUGUAAUUGAUCGAUUCCUGCAACGUUUUGCAAUUUUGGAGUACCAUAGCAUGACUCAAUCAUGCUCUAAUUUUGCUAUAAAAUAUUUCUGGCAGAUUCUUAACAUGACAUGCAUUUUUGCCAAGCUUAUUGUAGUUGAUCUAUACAUGCUAUGUGAUUUUUCUUGCCAUGGAUAGCUUCAUAAACAUGCCAUCUUGCUGUAGGUAUGCCUGGUUUGUCAUGGAUUGCUCUGUAGUGAGUGCAUCAAGCUCACAAAGAGGCCUACAUAUUAAUAUUUCUGCCAUGCUCUGUUUUCUGCUAAGUCUGAAACCUGAUAACGAAACUUGCUAUGUUUACAUGCUUGCAAUCAUAUGUUCUGGUCCUUUUUGGCUUAUGGUCAGUAAGGGACUUUUGUCAUGUGCAUUUAGUAAAACACUACGAUGCCUUGUUUUGCUAUGUUAAGUUUCUGUAGCAUAUUGAUUUCGCGCUCCGAACAUUGCUACCUGAUGCUGAUUUCUGCCAUGUCCAGUUUUUCACUAAGUCUGUGAACCUGUAAUCUUUUGCACUUUUGCCAUGCUUGUUUGAGCUUGAUAUGUUGUGAACUAGCCGUAGCUCAGUGUUCAUCUUUUGUCAAGAAUCUCCUGUAGAUUACUGCCAUGUGCUUUGUUGCUAUGUUGGAGUGCUGUAGCAUUGUUACUUGUUGUAUGUUAAGUGCUAUCUUGCUGUUUAUCGCAGAUUAGUGUCAUUCUUGUUCUGCUUGCCAUUUGCAAACCGUGCAUCCGAUUCCGGUGAUCUUUAUAUCGAUUUCGACCGAAAUCAUCUCAUCUUUCCAGUGGCAUGCUUGGUUUGCCAAGUUACUGCCAUGUUCAUCAUUUUCCUUCCGGAGCACGCAUAUGCAUCGCAUAUCAUAUCUUGCAUAUCAUACAUGUCUGGCAUCAUGUUGCUUGCGCAUUUCUCGUUGUUGAUUGUGGUUCCGUUUGUUUGUGUUCUUGUCUUGGGUAGAGCCGGGAGACGAGUUCGUGAACGAGGAACCUGUCGAGUACGCGUACGAGGAUCAAGCUUUCGACAACUCUGAGAAUCUUGCAGGCAAGAUGACCACCCCUCGAAAUCACUUCUAUCUUUGCUAUGCUAGUUGUUCGCUCUAUUGCCAUGCUCGCUACCUAUCACUUGCUAUAUCAUGUCUCCUAUUUCAGCCGUGGCAGCCCCUAACCAUCCUUUCCUAGCAAACCGUUGUUUGGCUAUGUUACCGCUUUUGCUCAGCCCCUCUUAUAGCGUUGCUAGUUGUAGGUGAAGUUGAAGUUUGUUCCAUGUCGGAACAUGGAUAUGUUGGGAUAUCACAAUAUCUCUUAUUUAAUUAAUGCACCUAUAUAUUUUGGUAAAGGGUGGAAGGCUCGGCCUUAUGCCUGGUGUUUUGUUCCACUCUUGCCGCCCUAGUUACUGUUAUACCGGGAUUAUGUUCCUUGAGUUUGCGUUCCUUACGCGGUCGGGUGAUUUAUGGGACCCCCUUGACAGUUCGCCUUGAAUAAAACUCCUCCAGCAAGGCCCAACCUUGGUUUUACCAUUUGCGACCUAUACCUUUUUCCCCCGGGUUUUCUAGAGCCCGAGGGUCAUCUUUAUUUUAAACCCCCGGGCCAGUGCUCCUCUGAAUAUUGGUCCAAACUGUCAGUCGCCGAUGGCCACUAGGGGCAACUCUGGUCUGGCCUAUCGGAAGCUUGGACAAUCCGGUGUGCCCUGAGAACGAGAUAUGUGCAGCUCCUAUCGGGAUUUGUCGGCACAUUCGGGAGGCUUUGCUGGUCUUGUUUUACCAUUGUCGAGAUGUCUUGUAAACCGGGAUUCCGAGACUGAUCGGGUCUUUCCGGGAGAAGGUUUAUCCUUCGUUGACCGUGAGAGCUUAUGAUGGGCUAAGUUGGGACACCCCUGCAGGGUAUUAUCUUUCGAAAGCCGUGCCCGCGGUUAUGAGGCAGAUGGGAAUUUGUUAAUGUCCGGUUGUAGAUAACUUGUCACUUGACCCAAUUAAAAUACACCAAGUGCGUGUGUAGCCGUGAUGGUCUUUUCUCGGCGGAGUCCGGGAAGUGAACACGGUCUGUGUUAUGGAUGACGUAAGUAGGUGUUCAGGAUCACUUCUUGAUCAUUGCUAGAUGACGUCCGUUCCGUUGCUUCUCUUCUCGCUCUCAUUUGCGCAAGUUAGCCACCAUAUAUGCUUUUGCCGCUGCAGCUCCACCUCUUUGCACCUCCUUGUCCUAUAAGCUUAAAUAGUCUUGAUCUCGCGGGUGUGAGAUUGCUGAGUCCCCGUGACUCACAGAUACUUCCAACACCAGUUGCAGGUGCCGACGAUGCCAGUGCAGAUGAUGACGUCGAUCUCAAGUGGGAGUUCGACGAGGAACGUGGUCGUUACUAUGUGUCUUUUCCUGAUGAUCAGUAGUGGAGCCCAGUUGGGACGAUCGGGGAUCUAGCAUUUGGGGUUGUCUUAUUUUCAUCUGGAUUUUGACCGUACUCGGUCUAUAUGAUUGUAUUUUGGAUGAUGUAUGAAUGAUAUUUAUGUAUUGUGUGAAGUGGCGAUUGUAAGCCAACUCUUUAUCCCAUUCUUGUUCAUUACAUGGGAUUGUGUGAAGAUGACCCUUCUUGCGACAAAACCACUAUGCGGUUAUGCCUCUAAGUCGUGCCCCGACACGUGGGAGAUAUAGCCGCAUCGUGGGCGUUACAAGUUGGUAUCAGAGCCAUCCCCGACUUAGGAGCCCCCUGCUUGAUCGAAUCGUUGACGUUGUUGAGUCUAGAACAAAAUGUUUUGAGUCUUAGGAUUAUAUAUAUCGGAGAGUAGGAUUCUUUUUAUUCCUCAGUCCCUUCGUCGCUCUGGUGAGGUCUCCUGACGUAGAAGUUUUGACUAUUCUCUCCUCAAAUUUCACUAAAAAAAAUUUAGGAUCACGCGGGUAUCUUGGAAUCGUUCCGAUCGAUUUGUGACGAGAACAUUGUUCUUGGUGCCUCCUAUCAUUUAGGGGUUGUGGCAGUGUCCCGGGGAGUUGAGCUCCGAGGUGUUGUCAUCACAAUUUUAUCGUUGCAGUUCUGGAAUACCUGAGUUUCGCCGACAUCGAAAUCUCUUUUAUGCAGUUGUUGGUGAGAUCACCUCGACGCCACCCAGUACUGGGGCGGGAGUUCGGGAGUAUUGCCAUAACUUGUAUAACGGAUGUUUUUCGAAGGUUGAGGUAAACGAUUUCCGAAGGUUUCUUGGUUAUGUGUUGACGGAUGGAUACAGCUGGAUCUAGGGAUUGCUAGUUUGGGUGAUAUAUAUUUGUGUCCCCUGUAUCCCCUACACCAGAUUGCAUAACCAGAAAGUUUCGGGAGUUUAUAAGUGGGAAUUCUAGUAUCCUUAGGAUUUCUUUCCGACAGACGCAUGAUAUGAGAUUGGGGUUCGACGUCUAGUGGUCCGCCUGUAUACGGUUGAUUUUACAGUGGUCUCGUUGUGUCUUAAAGAGUCCAUGGCUUUGCCGACUCGGGGACGCUUCGUAUGUCAUGUGCACAGCCUUGUACAUGAUGGUGCUGUACGAUUGAGCCCGUGUGGGCCCCACCACAAAAACUUCGGACGAAACCUCUAUCAUAUGUUUGUUCCGGCUUAUUUUGCAAGCCAAUACUUUGUUUUAUUUUGUUUUGUGGUAUUCGAGUUCCCUUCGAAUUCAUAUGUUAAUUCCAUAUCUUUUUCAAGUGGCUUCUCAACUUAUGGAAGUGUGAUGAUUUACUACGGAAUUCAUUCGUUCAUCUUCGUUCGAAUGUUUAUUGUGAAGACUAUAUGUUGCAAUUUUUGUCCGUUGAUUCUACUUAUCUUUUGUCUAUCAAGAUGCUAACGGUUGUCACCCUCUUCAGGAUGGCUCCGCCAACGCGUCAGAAUCCGGAUCGCAAUGAAGGGAGUCAAGCGAACCCUCCGCCACCACCUCCACCUCCGGAGGCAUGGCAAGCAAUCAUGGCAGCCACCAACGCCAAUGCUCAGAUGAUUCUGCAACUCUUGCAAGAACGUACUCAAGGGCAAGGCAAUCAAGGCAAUCAAGGUCAAGGCAACAAUCAGUUUCACUUUGCCACUCUCAACCAGUUUCUCGCAAAUCAGCCCAAGUCUUUCAGCUACUGUGCCGAGGCCACGGAUGCCGAUGAUUGGCUCGUGGACAUCAACAAGCAUUUUGAAUGUAGCAAUGUCAGGCCUGAGGACUAUGUCAAGUUCGCUUCUUUCCAGCUCAAGGACCAAGCUGCUGAUUGGUUUCAGCAAUACAAAGAUUCCAGAGGAGGUCGUGUGAUCACUUGGACUGACUUCUGUCGGGACUUCAAAGCGCACCACAUUCCACAAAGUGUUGUUGAGAUCAAGCGUGAGGAGUUCCGCAAUCUCAAGCAAGGAAACAUGUCUGUGUAUCAAUACAACAUUCAGUUUCAGAAACUUGCUCGCUUCGCUAAACAAGACGUUCCUGAUGAGAAGAGCAUGAUCUAUCACUUCAGAGGUGGCCUUAAAGAGGAUCUGCAACUAGCUCUCGUUCUUGUUGAGCCUACUCAGUUUGAUCAAUUCUACAAUAUGGCACUGAAGCAAGAGGCUGCUCAGCUCAAGUGUGAGGCUUCUAAGAAAAGAGUCAGGGAUGCAGUUCAGUCUUCUUCUUCCUCACUUGUGACAGCUAAGCAACAGAAGUUCUGGUUGCCUCCUCCUCCUCCGUUUCGUCAGCCUUACCAGCAGAAGAACAAAGGUGGCCAUGGUUCUUCAAACUCUUCCAACUCUGGCUAUCAGAACAAGUCUCAGAAUCAAGCUCCCAAGUCCAAUGCUCCUUAUCACCGUCCACUCUCAGAGGUGACUUGCAACAAAUGUCAGCAGAAAGGUCACUAUGCUAACAAGUGCUUCAACCAGAGGCGUCUUCCUCCUCCUCCUCCUGUCAGAUCUUCCAGCAAUGCAGUGGUCAAGCAUAAUCCAAAGUUUGCAAAGGUGAACAUGUUGAAUGCAGCUCAAGCGGAGGAAUCUACUGAUGUGAUAAUGGGUAAUCUUCCUGUUAACAAUAUUCCUGCAAAAGUUCUUUUUGAUACUGGUGCAUCUCUUUCUUUCAUAUCAAGACCUUUUGCAUCCAAGCAUGAAUUGCAUUUCCAAGGAUUGCCUAGGCCGUUAGCAGUUGUCUCUCCAGGCAAAUGCAUGAAUGCAAGUUCCAUGGUUCCGAAUGUUACCAUCAAGAUGGGCGAUUAUGCAUUCCAGUCUUCUCCAAUUGUUCUUGGUGACUCGGAUAUUGAUCUUAUUCUCGGGAUGGACUGGCUUUCUAAGCACAAGGCUCAACUUGAUUGUGCUGCCAGAGAAAUUCAAUUGACACACUCGUCUGAGGAUGUGAUUAUUUUUGCCGCUCGUAAUGAAACCAUUCGGUUUUUCUCUCUCAAUGAGAAGGGCGAAUUGGAUGCCAUCUCUCAAAUUCCAGUUGUUUGCGAGUAUCAAGAUGUCUUUCCAGAAGAGCUUCCGGGUAUGCCUCCGCACCGGCCAGUUCGGGCAAGGCCCCAUUCGAGAUUCUCUAUGGCAGAAAGUGUCGUACUCCUCUCAAUUGGUCAGAGACUGGUGAACGCCAACUUCUUGGCAAUGACUUAAUCACUAAAGCUGAAGAAAUGUGUAAAGUCAUCCGUGAUAAUCUCAAAGCCGCGCAAUCGCGUCAGAAGAGUUACUAUGAUAGUAAGCAUCGUGAUUUGGCUUUCGAGAUCAGAGACCAUGUCUACCUCCGCGUCUCUCCAAUGAAAGGCACUCGUCGCUUCGGUAUCAAAGGGAAGCUUGCCCCUAGAUACGUGGGUCCUUUCAAGAUCAUUGGCAAAAGAGGCGACCUCGCCUAUCAACUUGAGCUUCCUUCCAACUUCGCGAACGUGCACGAUGUGUUCCACGUGUCACAGCUCCGCAAGUGCUUCAAGACGCCUGAGCGCACUAUCGACUUCGAAGAGAUUGACCUCCAAGAAGAUUUGUCUUAUCAUGAGCACCCAGUUGCUAUUCUUGAGGAAACUGAGCGCAAGACUCGCAACAAGUCUAUCAAAUUCCUCAAAGUGAAGUGGUCGCACCAUUCCGACCGGGAAGCCACCUGGGAACGCGAGGACCAUCUCCGUUCCGAAUAUCCGGAGUUCUUUCAGUCCUAGAUCUCGGGACGAGAUCCUCUCGUAGUGGUGGAGUGUUGUAACACCCCGCAUGUAACUUGCCAUAUCUGUAACUCCGACUCUUGCAAAUUCCGGCUAUGUGAUAUGUUAUUCCCUCCGUUGUCGGGUUUUGUCUUUCGUUUUGUAUUUUGUCUUGUCUUGCAUUUUCAUAUCAUGUCAUCAGGUGCAUUGCAUUCUCAUACGUGUUCGUCUCGUGCAUCCGAGCAUUUUCCCCGUUGUCCGUUUUCCAAUCCGGCGCUCCUAUCUCCUCCGGUGCACCCUUCUAGUUUUCUUUCGUGUGCGUGUGUCAAACUUUCUCGGAAUGGACCGCGGCUUGUCAAGUGGUCUUAAUAUACCACCCGGAGACUACCGGUCAAGUUUCGUUCCAUUCGGAGGUCGUUUGGUACUCCAACGGUUAACCGGGCAUCCGCAAAGUCCAUUUGAGUAUCCAGCAAAACCCCCUCCAAAACCAGCCCAAAACCCACCAAACUCUCUUCCAUGCUCUAGGUCGUUCGAUCACGAUCGUGUGGGCGAAAACCGCACCUCAUUUGGAGUCUCCUAGCUCCCUCUACCUAUAAAUAAGUGGGCAUCCCGAAAACGAAACCGCAGUCUAACCCUAGCCCUCGUCCCACUCCGCCGCCGGACACGUCCGGGCGGAGCCGGACACGUCCAACCGCCCCGCCGCCGCCACGUGUCGCCGCCGGGUCCUCCCGCCGCGCCGGCCCGCCGGGCCCGUGACCNNNNNNNNNNNNNNNNNNNNNNNNNNNNNNNNNNNNNNNNNNNNNNNNNNNNNNNNNNNNNNNNNNNNNNNNNNNNNNNNNNNNNNNNNNNNNNNNNNNNNNNNNNNNNNNNNNNNNNNNNNNNNNNNNNNNNNNNNNNNNNNNNNNNNNNNNNNNNNNNNNNNNNNNNNNNNNNNNNNNNNNNNNNNNNNNNNNNNNNNNNNNNNNNNNNNNNNNNNNNNNNNNNNNNNNNNNNNNNNNNNNNNNNNNNNNNNNNNNNNNNNNNNNNNNNNNNNNNNNNNNNNNNNNNNNNNNNNNNNNNNNNNNNNNNNNNNNNNNNNNNNNNNNNNNNNNNNNNNNNNNNNNNNNNNNNNNNNNNNNNNNNNNNNNNNNNNNNNNNNNNNNNNNNNNNNNNNNNNNNNNNNNNNNNNNNNNNNNNNNNNNNNNNNNNNNNNNNNNNNNNNNNNNNNNNNNNNNNNNNNNNNNNNNNNNNNNNNNNNNNNNNNNNNNNNNNNNNNNNNNNNNNNNNNNNNNNNNNNNNNNNNNNNNNNNNNNNNNNNNNNNNNNNNNNNNNNNNNNNNNNNNNNNNNNNNNNNNNNNNNNNNNNNNNNNNNNNNNNNNNNNNNNNNNNNNNNNNNNNNNNNNNNNNNNNNNNNNNNNNNNNNNNNNNNCCUGCCGCCGCCCGUCGCCGGGGCCCCGCCGCCUCCCUCGCCGGCCGGCGACCCCCACCGCCGGUCGCGCCCUCCAGCCUCGCCUCCUCCUCUCCCCCCUCUCUCCGGCAGAGGACGCCGGCGAGCUCCUCUGUCCCGAGCGACGAGCUCGGGCUCGAGCGACAGCCAGAUCCGAUCGGUACUCUGCCCCGUUGACUUCCUCCCUCGCGCCCGUUUUUAUUUGCAAGUCCCAGAAUUUUCUCAGCAUAUGCUCCUGUUCCCGAUGCGAUAACUUUGUGCAUGUAGCUCCGAUUCGCGCGUAUAAUAUGUCCAAUUGUUCGUCUCGUGAUGCUCUUCAUUUUGUUCAAUUGCAUCAUUUUGAUUAGAGGUCAUCUUGAUUCCCAAAUCUUCGUUGGAAGAGGGCUAGUUGCUGUUAAUCUCUGGUUCUUGUCAGAACUUGGAGAUUUGUCUUUUUUGUAUCAUUUAUUCUGUGCAUCUUUUGAGCAUGAGCUCUACAUGUGUUUUGAAGUAUGCCAUGCCAUCUUUCCAGUGGUAUAGCCCAUGUAUUUGUUUGGUCUUUGUGGUGACUAGCACAAGCAUGCAAAGUAGGCCCCGUAAUAUUUCUGAUUUCAGGGACUUAGUGAUUUCUGCAAGUCCUAGUCUACUGUAAUUUUGUUGCCAUGUAAACUUGAUGUUACAGAGAGAUCCAUGCAUAUUUUGGAGAUGCUCAGUAAGGAUGUUUUGUAGCUAUAGUUGUAAUUGAUCCAUUCCUGCAAUUUUUUGCAAUUUUGGAGUACCAUAUCAUGACUCAAUCGUGCUCUACUUUUGCUAUAAAAUAUUUCUGGCAGAUUCUUAACAUGACAUGCAUUUUUGCCAAGCUUAUUGUAGUUGAUCCAUAUAUUCUAUGUGAUUGUUCUUCCCAUGGAUAGCUUCAUAAACAUGCCAUCUUGCUGUAGGUAUGCUUGGUUUGUCAUGGAUUGCUGUGUAGUGAGUGCAUCAAGCUCACAAAGAGGCCUACAUAUUAAUAUUUCUGCCAUGCUCUGUUUUCUGCUAAGUCUGAAACCUGAUAACGAAACUUGCUAUGUUUACAUGCUUGCAAUCAUAUCUUCUGGUCCUUUUUGGCUUAUGGUCAGUAAGGGACUUUUGUCAUGUGCAUUUAGUAAAACACUAUGAUGCCUUUUUUUGCUAUGUUAAGUUUCUGUAGCAUAUUGAUUUCGUGCUCCGAACAUUGCUACCUGAUGCUGAUUUCUGCCAUGUCCAGUUUUUCACUAAGUCUGUGAACCUGUAAUCUUUUGCACUUUUGCCAUGCUUGUUUGAGCUUGAUAUGUUGUGAACUAGCCGUAGCUCAGUGUUCAUCUUUUGUCAAGCAUCUCCUGUAGAUUACUGCCAUGUGCUUUGUUGCUAUGUUGGGGUGCUGUAGCAUUGUUACUUGUUGUAUGUUAAGUGCUAUCUUGCUGUUUAUCGCAGAUUAGUGUCAUUCUUGUUCUGCUUGCCAUUUGCAAACCGUGCAUCCGAUUCCGGUGAUCUUUAUAUCGAUUUCGACCGAAAUCAUCUCAUAUUUCCAGUGGCAUGCUUGGUUUGCCAAGUUACUGCCAUGUUCAUCAUUUUCCUUCCGGAGCACGCAUAUGCAUCGCAUAUCAUAUCUUGCAUAUCAUACAUGUCUGGCAUCAUGUUGCUUGCGCAUUUCUCGUUGUUGAUUGUGGUUCCGUUUGUUUGUGUUCUUGUCUUGGGUAGAGCCGGGAGAUGAGUUCGUGAACGAGGAACCUGUCGAGUACGCGUACGAGGAUCAAGCUUUCGACAACUCUGAGAAUAUUGCAGGCAAGAUGACCACCCCUCGAAAUCACUUCUAUCUUUGCUAUGCUAGUUGUUCGCUCUAUUGCCAUGCUCGCUACCUAUCACUUGCUAUAUCAUGUCUCCUAUUUCAGCCAUGGCAGCCCCUAACCAUCCUUUCCUAGCAAACCGUUGUUUGGCUAUGUUACCGCUUUUGCUCAGCCCCUCUUAUAGCGUUGCUAGUUGCAGGUGAAGUUGAAGUUCGUUCCAUGUCGGAACAUGGAUAUGUUGGGAUAUCACAAUAUCUCUUAUUUAAUUAAUGCACCUAUAUAUUUUGGUAAAGGGUGGAAGGCUCGGCCUUAUGCCUGGUGUUUUGUUCCACUCUUGCCGCCCUAGUUACUGUUAUACCGGGAUUAUGUUCCUUGAGUUUGCGUUCCUUACGCGGUCGGGUGAUUUAUGGGACCCCCUUGACAGUUCGCCUUGAAUAAAACUCCUCCAGCAAGGCCCAACCUUGGUUUUACCAUUUGCGACCUAUACCUUUUUCCCCCGGGUUUUCUAGAGCCCGAGGGUCAUCUUUAUUUUAAACCCCCGGGCCAGUGCUCCUCUGAAUAUUGGUCCAAACUGUCAGUCGCCGAUGGCCACCAGGGGCAACUCUGGUCUGGCCUAUCGGAAGCUUGGACAAUCCGGUGUGCCCUGAGAACGAGAUAUGUGCAGCUCCUAUCGGGAUUUGUCGGCACAUUCGGGAGGCUUUGCUGGUCUUGUUUUACCAUUGUCGAGAUGUCUUGUAAACCGGGAUUCCGAGACUGAUCGGGUCUUUCCGGGAGAAGGUUUAUCCUUCGUUGACCGUGAGAGCUUAUGAUGGGCUAAGUUGGGACACCCCUGCAGGGUAUUAUCUUUCGAAAGCCGUGCCCGCGGUUAUGAGGCAGAUGGGAAUUUGUUAAUGUCCGGUUGUAGAUAACUUGUCACUUGACCCAAUUAAAAUACACCAAGUGCGUGUGUAGCCGUGAUGGUCUCUUCUCGGCGGAGUCCGGGAAGUGAACACGGUUUGUGUUAUGGAUGACGUAAGUAGGUGUUCAGGAUCACUUCUUGAUCAUUGCUAGAUGACGUCCGUUCCGUUGCUUCUCUUCUCGCUCUCAUUUGCGCAAGUUAGCCACCAUAUAUGCUUUUGCCGCUGCAGCUCCACCUCUUUGCACCUCCUUGUCCUAUAAGCUUAAAUAGUCUUGAUCUCGCGGGUGUGAGAUUGCUGAGUCCCCGUGACUCACAGAUACUUCCAACACCAGUUGCAGGUGCCGACGAUGCCAGUGCAGAUGAUGACGUCGAUCUCAAGUGGGAGUUCGACGAGGAACGUGGUCGUUACUAUGUGUCUUUUCCUGAUGAUCAGUAGUGGAGCCCAGUUGGGACGAUCGGGGAUCUAGCAUUUGGGGUUGUCUUAUUUUCAUCUGGAUUUUGACCGUACUCGGUCUAUAUGAUUGUAUUUUGGAUGAUGUAUGAAUGAUAUUUAUGUAUUGUGUGAAGUGGCGAUUGUAAGCCAACUCUUUAUCCCAUUCUUGUUCAUUACAUGGGAUUGUGUGAAGAUGACCCUUCUUGCGACAAAACCACUAUGCGGUUAUGCCUCUAAGUCGUGCCCCGACACGUGGGAGAUAUAGUCGCAUCGUGGGCGUUACAUCCCUGGAGCCCAAUGUGAGCAGCCACCAGUGCACCAGAUUCGGCCCAUGUCUCGUUUUUUUCCGUGCUGCGAUUUUAGGAUUAUUCCAGGAAUUACAGUUUUACAAAAAAGCCCCUAGUCUUCAUGCAUAUAAUAACUCAUUAACCGUGCAUCGGAUUAAAAUGUUUUAUAUAUGUAAAAUUCUUAGAAUUUCAUCUAGUUUCAUAAUCUGCUACUUUCAUCUAUGUUAAAAAUGUUUAAACAUGCUGUUUCAUUAAAUUUGCUUAAAUGCCAUGCUAAAAUGAUUUAUUUCAUAACUAAAUAACCGUAGCUCGAAAUUUAAUAAAAUUUAUAUGAAAAUGGGGUGGAAAAAUGCAUAGAUUAACAUGGUGUACUUUGUUUUACUGUUUAAUAACAUUAAAAUAUGGUUUUAGGCAGAACAGUACCAAUUCAAAAUAUGCAUAUGGGGAUUUUCCGGAAUUGUCGUUUGUUAUUUCCGGCCUCAUUUAAACUUGCCUAGAUAGGUUGUUUAAUUAUGCUUCACCUCUUGCCAUGUUAACCAACAUUUAAUCUUGUCUUGUUCCUAAACGAGAGCAAACUAAAUAACUUGAAUGUGGUGUUUCGUCAAUAUGCAAGUCGUUGCAUAUUGAGCUCCACUUAAUUUGUAGUGUUGUUUGUUGCACUUGCCAUGCUCUUUAAACCGGACAUGCAUCAUACUUGGUUGUGCAUCAUGCCAUGUGUAUGUGGUGGUUGUUCAUUAUGUUGUUUGUUUCUUUCUGGGUUGCUUCUCUCGUUAGCUUCGGUUUCGUUCCGGAGUUGUGAGGAUUCGUUCGACUAUAUCCGUUUGUCUUCUUCAUGGACUUGUUCUUCUUCCUUGCGGGAUCUCAGGCAAGAUGACCAUACCCUCGAAAUCACUUCUAUCUUUGCUUGCUAGUUGUUCGCUCUAUUGCUAUGCCGCGCUACCUACCACUUGCUAUAUCAUGCCUCCCAUAUUGCCAUGUCAAGCCUCUAACCCACCUUUCCUAGCAAACCGUUGUUUGGCUAUGUUACCGCUUUUGCUCAGCCCCUCUUAUAGCGUUGCUAGUUGCAGGUGAAGAUGAAGUUUGUUCCAUGUUGGAACAUGUUUAUGUUGGGAUAUCACAAUAUCUCUUAUCUUAAUUAAUGCAUCUAUAUACUUGGUAAAGGGUGGAAGGCUCGGCCUUAUGCCUGGUGUUUUGUUCCACUCUUGCCGCCCUAGUUUCCGUCAUACCGGUGUUAUGUUCCUUGAUUUUGCGUUCCUUACGCGGUUGGGUGAUUUAUGGGACCCCCUUGAUAGUUUGCUUUGAAUAAAACUCUUCCAGCAAGGCCCAACCUUGGUUUUAACAUUUGCCACCUAAGACUUUUUCCCUUGGGUUCUGCAGACUCAAGGGUCAUCUUUAUUUUAACCCCCGGGCCAGUGCUCGUCGUGAGUGUUGGUCCAACCCGUCAGCCGUCGGUGGCCACCAGGGGCAACUCUGGGCUCGCCUAUCGGAAGCUUGGACAAUCCGGUGUGCCCUGAGAACGAGAUAUGUGCAGCUCCUAUCGGGAUUUGUCGGCACAUCGGGCGGCUUUGCUGGUCUUGUUUUAUUAUUGUCGAAAUGUCUUGUAAACCGGGAUUCCGAGGCUGAUCGGGUCUUCCCGGGAGAAGGAAUAUCCUUCUUUGACCGUGAGAGCUUAUAAUGGGCUAAGUUGGGACACCCCUGCAGGGUAUAAACUUUCGAGAGCCGUGCCCGUGGUUAUGAGGCAGAUGGGAAUUUGUUAAUGUCCGGUUGCAGAGAACUUGACACUUGACUUAAUUAAAAUACAUCAACUGCGUGUGUAGCCGUGAUGGUCUCUUUUCGGCGGAGUCCGGGAAGAGAACACGGCUUUUGAGUUAUGUUUGACGUAAAUAGGAGUUCAGGAUCACUUCUUGAUCAUUACUAGUUGACGACCGUUGCGUUGCUCCUCUUCUCGCUCUUAUUUGCGUAUGUUAGCCACCAUAUGUGCUUAGUGCUUGCCGCAGCUCCACCAUAUUAUCCCUUUCCUUCCUAUAAGCUUAAAUAGUCUUGAUCUCGCGGGUGUGAGAUUGCUGAGUCCUCGUGACUCACAGAUACUUCCAAAACAGUUGCAGGUGUCGAGGAUACCAGUGCAGAUGACGCAACCGAGCUCAAGUGGGAGCUCCAUGAAGAUCUUGUUCGUUGUGUUGUUUCGUUUCCUGUUGAUCGGUAGUGGAGCCCAGUUGGGACGAUCGGGGAUCUAGCAUUUGGGGUUGUCUUCUUUCAUUUUGGUUCCGUAGUCGGACCUUGCUUGUACUCUGGAUGAUGUAUGUUUAAUUUAUGCAUUGUGUGAAGUGGCGAUUGUAAGCCAACUCUUUAUCCCAUUCUUGUUCAUUACAUGGGAUUGUGUGAAGAUGACCCUUCUUGCGACAAUACCUACAAUGCGGUUAUGCCUCUAAGUCGUGCCUCGACACGUGGGAGAUAUAGCCGCAUCGUGGGUGUUACACCCACCAUGGGGCUAGCGCACGGUGGUUUCGAGUUCUUGAAGGGCUCUUUCCCAGGGAUCAAGGGAUACGCUGUCGACAGGAUGACGAAGAGUCGCCGUGGUAAGAUCUACAUCGACGACGCCGACUGGGGUCCCGAGGGCGACUCAGUAGAAUACGGGUACUAGGUCCCCUUUGGCGGAAUCCACAUCUUCAUCGGCAAGAUCGGCGGAUCUAAGCCCGAGCCGGACAUCUGCACCGACCUCGUCGAGCUGGCCCGGCGCAUGCAACCGGCCCGGAUCCAAGCCGCCCGGAAGCACGUCUUCGUGGGUUUCACACAAGGCGUGGAGCUCGCGGAAAAGUCCUUGUCUGGAGGAGAGACUCUCAUCUACUCAGACGAUGAGUCCUCGGCCGGGGAGAUGAAGUCAAUUUACCAACUUCAGGAUGGCGGGCUUGGGGGGCUGUUCCGAUGGCAACAUUAUUUCGAACCCCUACGAGCCGCCAAGCUGAGUCGCCAUAUUCAUGGUGGAGACGGCGCCGGCUCUCAAUUCUUCUGCGGCGGGAGCAACAAUAACAACUGACUCGGCGGCCGCGGCCGCUGGUGCGUCGGGCUCAGUUAGGCCGCCGGCUCAAGUAUUAUCCGGCCUGAUGUGCACUCUAAAAACCUUGCUGGCGACUGAAGUUACUGCAGAAAAUCAAGUGGAACACAACGCGGAGUUUGCAAAGAUUCGAGAGAAGAUUACUAAGGCCCAAGAAGAUAUGAGUGUUGAAAGUGUCAGGAUGGCUACAUUGCAAGCUCACGUUGCAGAGGCAGAGCGCCUGAACAUGGAGGCUUGGUGCCUGAAUCUAAACCAGAACGCUUCUAAUGUUGUCCUUCGAAGGAGUCACCAGUCCUGUUUACCUCCAAGUUAUGAGCCUUUGCGUUUAUUUAACACGCCAGGGGCAGGUCCAAGCACUCUUGGAGCACCGGUUAUACCCCCAAUUAACUUUAGAUGUGCCCGAAAGCCGGGCAGCGGCUCAACCUCAUCAGCCAGAGCCGACCCGGAGGGAGGAGCCAGUUCUAGAUCCAACCCGCGUCCAGACGCCACCACAGCGAUUCCUGGCACCCUCGAGUCACUUCUCUAACCCGGUGGAUAAUAUCGUUAAAGCAACAACCCGCCUUACUACAAUCUCGAUCACUGGCGAGUCACUGAUCGCGAUGGAAACCCAGAACGCCAUCGAACUUCUGCAAACAGUGAUUGCGCAGCAGGCGAAUUACUCAUAUAGCCAGCAUCGUGUGCAUUCAACCCCAUUGUCUAGUCGUAGCUACAGCCGGCAUGUUGAAUCGCCAACAGUUUCUAGCAGCAAACGACGCCAUAACCUGACAGAAAAGGAUAUCAGGCCAUCCUCCACUGUUUUUCACGGGGUAGUUCCUGGCAAGUCGGCUUAUACCGUGGGGAAGAUUCCCCAAGAGGUGGGUUUUGGUGAUGAGUACAACUACAGAGCAGAGACACUGUGGUUCGAGGUGGUGAAGAUCAAAAGUCCAUAUCAUGCACUGUUUGGAUGGCCGGCUUAUGCCAAGUUCAUGGCUCGUCCCUGUUACAUAUAUUUGGAUCUUAAGAUUCCAGGGCCAAACGACGCAAUUACGGUUCAUGGUGAUCGAAAGAUAGCCUUGGAGUGUGAAGAAGGAGACGUUGCUUACGCAGAGACGGCUUGUGCAGCUGCAGAGCUCAAAUUUUAUAAAGAUAAUGUUGGCCCGGCUGAUAUGACCCCUCUCAAAAAGCCCAACACUAAGAAGGACCCUCUCCUUAAAUUUAAGUCGGCAAAGGACACCAAGCAGGUUGAUUUCAUCCCUGGCGACUCUACCCAGCAGUUCACUAUGGGCACCGAGAUGGAUCCUAAAUAGGAAAGCGCGCUCAUCGAGUUCAUCCAUGAGAACCGGGACAUCUUUGUAUGGAAACCUUCUGACAUGUCGGGUGUACUAAGAGAAUUCGCUGAGCACCACCUUAAUGUGGAUCCAAAGAUGAAGCCAAUCAGACAAUACCUCCGUCGUCUUAACGAGGAGAGGCGUAAGGCUAUUGGAGAAUAGGUAGCCCUGCUCUUAGUCGCUGGGUUUAUAGUUGAAGUUUUCCACCCUCAGUGGUUGGCUAACCCGGUUCUUGUGCUCAAGAAGAAUGGCACGUGGCAUAUGUGUGUCGAUUACACAGAUCUCAAUAAAGCAUGUUCGGCUGAUCCUUUUGCUCUCCCUCAUAUCGACCAGAUCAUUGAUGCAACGGCAGGUUGUGAGAGUCUUUGUUUCUUGGAUGCUUAUUCUUGCUAUCAUCAGAUCAAGAUGGCGGUUGAGGAUCAGGAGAAGACCACUUUUAUCACACCUUUUGGAGCUUUCUGCUAUGUUUCUAUGCCCUUUGGGCUCAAGAGUGCCCAGGAGACUUCCCAACGUUGUGUUUAGAAUUGUUUUCAUGGGAAGAUUGGACGCAACAUUCAUGCUUGUGUGGAUGACAUUGUGGUCAAAUCCGGGAAGAGAGAAACCCUGCUUGAUGAUUAGAAGAAGAUCUUUGACAACCUCCGGGUUUACAAGAUGAUGCUUAAACCGGCCAAGUGUGUUUUUCGCGCAGCUGGCCCAAAUCUUAUUGCUUUGCUUUGUUUUUGCUUUUUCUUCUUCUUGUCUAGCUGCUGACCGGGAGCCCUAUUGUGUAGCCACUGCAGCUGAAAUGCUGGACCUCCGAAGCCGGCUAGACCAAGCUGGCCGGCAGCAUGACCAGGCCGUCAUGGAGCACAACUGGUUCCAAGCGAAGACGAGCCGACUGGCGGCGGAGAGGGACCAGAAGGCGGCGGCCCAUCAGGCCGAGCUGGACCGGCUUGCGGAGGAGCACCGCAAGGUGGCAGCUGAGCAGGCGGCAAAGGCCUUCGAGGAGAUCGCCAGCUUAAGGCAGAUCGCAACCGCUGCGUCGAUGAGUGGUUGGGGAAGGAGCGGGCGAUACUGGCGGAGGCGCAACGGGUCGACGAGAUUGUCACCCGGAAGUGCUUAGUUUGCUUCUUUGUUUACCCGUGUCUGGCCAGCCAGUUCCUUGGUUGUUUGGCUGAUUUUCUCCUUUUCUUCACCAGGGGUCUUCCCUGAGACGCAGGCACCAGCCGAGGCGGCCAUUAACGCCUACCGGGAUGAACAAAGGGUGGAGGGGGCCGAAAUCGGCGCACGCACGACCUGGACGGUGGCGGAGAUGGUCGUCGCCGGUAAGGCCUAGAUAGGGCCGGUGGAGCGCGACAUGAACCGGCUAUUCGAAGUCGGCUCGUCGAUGGUGGGCGCCCUUUGUCCGAACACGGUGGUGCCCGACACGGUCAACUGGCUGGCACGGUGGUUGGAGGCCGGGGGGUGCGACUCGGCGCGUGGAGGGCUUCUACGGCCUGGACCGACGCAGAGAUGGCGCUCAGCUUCGUGAUGUCCUGGUAUUUGAGCGUUGACCUGAGCCGACUGGUCGCCCAGAGGGCCGAAGAGGAAGAUGACCUAGCGCAACAAGCUAUGCCGCCUGCUGUGCGGGCCAGCGACAUUGCGUCGUUCACUCCCCACGACGAGUUCGUCUUCAAGCGAGCGUCGGACAACACGUCGCUCCCCACCGAUGACUUUGGACCCCUCGAGGACCCAGCGGGCAGCGAGACCGAGACGGACAUGGAGGCGCACAUUGACGCUCCCAACCUGGACGACACCGGUGCCACGGAGGAGACGGUGCGGACUGACGCGGAUGCGCCCCGCGUAUAACGAUUUUUCCUUUCCCGUCUUUUUCUUUUAUGCUCAAACUUAAGGUUAGUUGGCAAGUCCACCCGCUGUGGUAUAAGUUUAUGUAAUGAACUCUGAGCCGCGGGCCUUUUGAUAUAUAUAUGAACACGUAUGUUCUCUAUCUGUGUAUGCCUUUUGCCGGUUGGCGGCUCGCUUUUUUCCUUUGUCCUUAGGUCAUUUUUCUUGUUCGCUCCCCUUUCGGCUCCCCCCCCCCCGCGCCAGCCGGACAACUAGGAGUCGGUCUGUAGUGGGACGGGGAGUCGCACUUGAAGGAAAGGCACAAUACAUAGGUUUUAGGACUGGAGCGCGGCCGGUCUGUGUGGCGGCAAGCGAAAGAAGGAAAAAAAUGGGCGGCCGGGUCGGUUGAGCCAGACGCUCUUCCUUAGCCAUUUUUCAUGUGAGGCGCUUCCGGCCUUUGGCUCUUGCUAGCCGGACAGCCAGGAUCUGGACUGUGGCUUGAGGCGAAGAAAAGGCUUUGGCGGCGUGCACGCUACAAAACUAGCUACGGAAAGGGCGGGGCGCGGGCUAGCCGGCGGGCCCCCGAGCCGGACACGAUGACCCGGGAUGGGGAUGAAUGCGGUAAAGAGCGCAAAAAAUAGAAGGGAUUCAAUAGAUCUAAAAAGGUUGCCCCCGAGUGUCGUUUGGGGGACCAGUUGCUUUCAUUGAUUCAAAAGGUAGCGAUACAUGCAUGCAUGUAGUCAACUGUAAAACGAGCGGAGGAGCUCCGCGUUCCAGGGGCGCUUGGUCUCUUUUCCAAAGGCGUCUCUCUUACGCUUGUUCAGCUUCUGCGCGUCGAUGAGGUAGUACGCAUUCCAAUUAAGCAUGGCCUUACUGAUGAUGAAGGGGCCCUCCCAUGGGGACAGCUUGUGUUGGCCGGCUGUGUGUUGGACGAGCCGGAGCACUAGGUCACCCUCGCAAAACGCGAGGGGCUUGAUCUUCUUGCUAUGGUAGUGGCGCAGGCUCUGCUAGUAUAUGGCUGGCCGACUAAGGGCCAGUAGGCACGCUUCCUCGAGCAGGUCGACGCCAUCUUCACGUGUCUCCUUGGGCUUGGCCUCCGUGUACAUGGUCACCCAAGGCGAGGAACUCGACAUCCGUGGGGAUGACCGCCUCGGCCCCAUAGACGAGGAAGAAGGGGUGAAGCCGGUUAAUCGGUUGGGUGUGGUCCGAAGACUCGAAAGGACUAUCGGCAGCUCAUCGAGCCAGCUACCGGGUGAGCGCACGAGCACUACAAAAAAAAGACACAUCCGUGACAUUUUGGGACGAACGAAAAAAAAUUAUGUCAUACAUAUGACACUUCUAUGACGAUAAUUGUGACAAAACCCGGUAUCAUCAUACAUGUGGUGGGCUCCUACUUCUAUGACAAAAAAUCAUGACAGAAAAUGGGCUUUUCGUCCUAGGCGGGGGAGCCGAAAGGGGAGCGAACAAGAAAAAUCCGGAGACGCAGCUGCAUGACAUUCUUUGGGCCGUCCAUGACGGAAAAAACCAUGGUAGAAGCGAGGGCGAGGAAAAUUUCAGGGAGUUCUCGGUUACGGUGGGCGGUCGAGGGCCGAGUGAUGCGCGUUUCUCUAGUACACAUACGCGCGUGUGUGCGAGGCGUUGGCUCUAACUGAACCCGAGCGAGGCGUUGGGCCCUAACUAAACCCGAGCGAUUGCACUGCAGGCUACGCGUUACUGAACCCGAGCGAUCGAUCGAUGGCUGUUAACUGAACCCGAUCGAGUGAUUCCUUCGCUACUGCUGCUAACUGAAGCCGAUUGAUGCUGCCUCUCUGGAUGAACAGUGCGCGUUGCAGGGGGGUUGGAUGAACAGUGAGCGGUGGCGUUGCCUCUGGAUGAACAGGACCCCGUGGUGUGGAGGGCUGGAUGAACAGGACGACCCCGUGGAGGGCUGGAUGAACAAUAGACGGUGUAGGGGUGCCCGUGGAGGGGUGGAUGAACAGUAGACGGUGGAGGGGUGCCCGUGGAGGGGUGGUUGAACAGUAGCCGAUGGAGUAGCGCGCAGUGGAGGCUGGAUGAACAGGAUCUCAUGGAGGCUGGAGGAGGUCGACGGUAGCCCGUGGAGGCUGGAGGAGGUCGAUGGUGGAGAUGAACAGUAUCCCGUGGAGUCCCGUUUUGUGGUACGCCACACCCCUCCCAAUGAACAGGACCCCCGUUUCGAUCGUAGCGCUCUAACACAAGUCCGUUUCGUCCGUUUUGCGGUACGCCACACCCCUCCCGAUGAACAGGACCCCCGUUUCGACCGUAGCGCUCCAACACAUGUCCGUUUCGUCCGUUUUGCGGUACGCCACACCCCUCCCGAUCAACAGGACUCCUGUUUUGACCAUAGGAGGUCCGUUUCCUCCGUUUUGCGGUACGCCAGACCCCUCCCGAUGAACAGGAUCCCGUUUCGAACAUGGCCGGUCGAACACAAGGCCGUUUCCUCCGUUCUGCGGUACGCGAGGCCUCGUUUCCAUCGCCCGUUCCGUCCAAGCCCUCCAGAUGAACACGACGACGCAUUCCGUUCCGACCCAGCCGGUUGGCUCCCCAUGAACACGACGACGACGUUGUUUCUUCGUUCUGACCCAGCCAUGUACACGAGCCCUAGCCAUACGUAUGCGUGAGUAGGCGUUCGAGACCCCGCCCGUAUGUACAUACGUGGCCGUAUUUUCUUUCUUGCACCCUGGCCGUUGUACGUACGUGUACAUGCUACAUGCGCGCCUCUACUACAACACGUGCACGCCUCUACUACGACACGUGUGCGCCUCUACUACGACAUGUGCGCGCCUCUACAUCCACCAGUAUGUACGUACACGUUCGCGACCAGAAUGACAACGCUAUGUACGCUUCGACCAGGUGGGUCCCGACUGUCAGGCACUUCCUUGCGUGCAAAGAUGUAGUUGGUGGGUCCCAGCAGUCAGGGGGGCGAAUCGGUUUUUUUUCUUUUGCCCGGACGCACUUCCUUGUGUGCAAAGGUGUAGCUGGUGGGUCCCAGCAGUCAGGGGGGAAACGUUUUUUUCGCGAAAUACGGUGGCCCGUCCGGUGGGUCCCUGCUGUCAGGUGGAGGAAUCAUUAUUUUCUGCGUAAUAAGGUGGCACUUCCUUGCUGCGGCCAUGGACCCAGCUGUCAGCCUCUCCACGUACAGUCCACGUCCGAUGGAAGUCGUUCCUUCACCACGUUGACCACGCCGCGCCAAGAGCACCAGGGCGGUGGACGACGGCGAGGCUAGGAAGGGGACGAUGCGGAGCCGGGGAAGACGCGGCAGUGGAUGCCCACGCGUAGAGGAGUAUGAGGGUUCACUCGUUCGGCUGCGGUGUGAGGCUGUCGUUGCCGCAGAAUAACAGGGGGUGUGGGUGCGUAGAGGGAUGGCCUGGCCAGCGGUGGGAGUAGUAGGGGGCGGUGAGGCCUCCGCGGCAUCACAGCCAGCCACGGGCGGCAGAAGCAGACGGCACGACCGGCGCUGCUUUGGGUGGCUGGAGCAAGAAGACCAGAGGUUGAAGAAGCACUACGGCCGUUGGAUGGACAUCGUACGGUCACUGGAGCUAGAAUCGUUCAUAUAUUGACUAAAAUUGACAAAGGCCUCUGUCCCAGUCAACUUAGUAGGCCCACAAGUCAGCCCCCCACCAAGGUGGGUCCCAGCUAGCAGGGGGUAUUCAUUUUUUGUGCGUAAUAAGGAGGCACUUCCGAUGGGUCCGAGCUGACAGCGGGGGGAACGUUUUUUCGCGAAAUACGGUGGCCCGUACGGUGGGUCCCAGUAGUCAGGGGGAAACUUUUUUUUGCGAAAUACUGGUGGCCCGUCCGAUGGGUCCCUGCUGUCAGGUGGAGGAAUAAUUAUUUUCCGCGUAAUAAGGAGGCACUUCCUUGCGGCUGCCGUGGACCCAGCUGCCAGCCUCUCCACGUACAGUACUCUUUUGAUGGAAGUCGGUCGUUGACCACAUUGACCACGCCGCGCGGAGAGCACAACGGUGGUGAACGACGGCGAGGCCUAGGAAGGGGAUGACGCGGAGCCGGGGAAGACGCGGCAGUGGAAGCCCGCGCGGAGAGGAGUACAAGGGUUCACCGGUUCGGCUGCGGUGUGAGGCUGCCGUCGCCGCAGAAUAACAGGGGGUGUGGGUGAGUAGAGGGAUGCCCUGGCCGGUGGUGGGAGUAGUAGGGGGCGCUGAGGCCUGCGCGGCAGCACAGCCGGCCACGGGAGGCGGGAGCAGGCGGUCCCGCCGGCGCUGCUCUGGCGGCUGGAGCAAGAAGAUCAGAGAUUGAAGAAACACGACGGCCGUUGGAUUGACAUCCAACAGUUGCGUCUACUAGAAUCGUUUGUUGACGUAUAUAAUAACUAAAAAAAUCUUGCAUACGCGUCAACUAAACAGGCCCACAAGUCAGACCACUCCCUCUUUUUUUUAAUAAUUUAUAUAUAGCUCAUGGCAACUUCUUAUGCAAUUUAUUGCAGUCGUUUUUUUGGUUGGCCAGGGCCAAUUUCACAUAUUUCUGUGGGUUCCAAACUAUUUUUAAUACCGAAAUGUCGAGCCAGAUUUAAAGUACUUUGAAGAUAUAUUUAAAUUAGGUUAAUGCCCAGUGAAAUAGGAAUCUGAAAAUGUGAAAAAAUUCAGAAAUUAUAAAGUAAUUGCCAAUUUGUCAUCUGUUUUUAUAUUUACAACCCAUUUCAUAUUACUUUCAAGAUUUGCAGACGUCUUGAAAGAGUUGCAGCCCAUCAGGGCGUAGAAAAAUAAGUAGGCCUGGAUUGGGUAUUCUUCAGAAAAAAUAAACUGGGCUCAUUUUCACAAAGAAAAAAUAGUUGGGCUGGUCACAUGGUGAACAUAAAAUAUAAGCCUGGGCUAGACGGGCCACAGCCCAGUUCAAACCCUGCUCCGUCUCAACAAUAACAAAAAGAUACUGCUCGAGUAGCUACGUCCCAGGUGUCAGCCAAUCUUGUGUUGUUCUCUUGUCUAUUGACUAUAUACGCUCACAAUGUCGUGGGUCCCAGAUGUCAGGAAAACACUAGGAGGAAGCAUUUUAUUUUUCCAUACGCUGACGUGGUGGGCCCCUACUGUCAUCCUCUCCAUGUACUUCUGCCGAUUCCUAUUGUUUGUUGACCAUGUUGACAACGCGAGAGGGCGGAGCCGCGGCGAGCGCACCAAAACGCGCGGAGGACGUCGGCGUUAACGAUUUAGGAGACGGUGGGGCGGCGAUGCGUGCGCUGAGGCGCAGCCAGCCGUGGGAGGCGGAAGCAGGCGGCCCCGCCGGCGCUGGUUUGGUUUUGGCAGCUGGAGGAAGACAGGACUGAAGAAACACAACAGACUGUAAAAGCAGCAGGAGUACUUAACAACCUUAACUGAAACCAGCAGGGGCACUUAACAACCAAAGCUGAAAGCAGUAUGAGUACUUAUACAGGUUCAACCGUACAAAGCACGCCUCGAACAGUGCUACUUUGCCUACAGUUAACCAAGGGUGAGGCCGCCAAGCCCCAGGACAAGGCCCAGGUGCCACCCCGCGCAUCCACAACCUUCUGAAAGCGGCUUCAUCUCGCAAUGUGGUCAAUAAAUAGGAUAUUCGCUCUAGAGCCAUGGAAAAGCAUGAACAUAAUCUUCUGUCCUAUUCUCCAAGAUGGACGGGCCUUCAUUAUUUGAGACCACCCAUGAAUAAGUAUCUUUUCACCUCCAAGGGGAAUUGAGUAGGUCGACAUAAACAUCAUGUUGUGACCAAGCGCAAGUCUGACCCGACCAUGGUCAGGCAUCUGUAUAGGAACAAUAGAACUGGGCAAUUUCUGUUUCAAGAAGAUCACAGCUGUAAAACUGUGUAUAAGCAAUAGUUUAUGGACAACAUAUAUAACAGAAAACAGCUCGUACCAUAAGUUUCUCGACACAGUUGGACCUGUUCAACGAGUGCAGCAGUGGCACACAUAUCCCACGUGGCCUUCCACCAUUGAAACGCCCCACAAGGACCUCAAGACGAUCAAUAAAGUGUAGGAACUUAUGGUUGUCGAUCCAGUCAACUUUAGUGCCAUCAGUAACAACCGAGUUAUUACAGAGUAACAAACGAGCAGACUGCUUAACUCUGAAAAACCUACAUGUGCCACCAAUUAUAAGAAAAUAUUAGUUAGAAGUAGCAUCUUCGUGAGAGAUUCUUUGCUACUUCUAAAGUUAAAUUGUGAUUAGUUAGACAGAAUAGGUGGAUUAAGAAGUAAUCGAGGCAACAAGCAAGAACCAGAUACAAAACUAACAUGGAUGAACAAUUGGAACGACGUCGGGGUGGAAGAUCGCAGCGAAGAUGAGACCAGGUUCUGCUAUUUCCAUCAACAUUCAUGCGCCAAAUUUCAGUCCGUAACACUUGAGAAAGUUUAUCCAAGUUCGGCCAUAAAAAAAGCAGUGAUCUUCUUGGUUCAUGAACCCAACUCAGAACUUAUAUCCAUGGCUUGUCUUCACUAUGACCAUUAAACUAGUGUAUUCAGUUAUGGCAAGGCCGAGCAUCUUGAGUACAUGUGUUCUGGCAGAGCAAAUAAUACACUGCGGGAAAAAUAAUAUGAGAACACAGCAUGUUCAAAAGAAACGCCCUCCCGGAUAGAAAAGAGGAUUCUAGGAACAUACUAUGCGCGUUUCAAAAUGCUGUGUUAGGAUGAGAAGGAACAAGUGUGGCGUCUCGCCGAGGGCGCAGAAACCUGUAGGGUACUCACACUUUGGGCACUGCAAAUGAAACACACUAGAUUCAGUAGGAAGAAAAAUGCAUCAACGGCGGCGGCUGCCAUCCUAGGAUUAUCUGCAACCAAGGGACUUGGAUUUAUCGGGGAUGGAUGAAGAAUUCGUACCUGAUUCUCCAUGAGAAAACCCUAUGCAAUCGCCGAGAGGGGGUUUUCUCUAAACAAGCAGACGAGGGAGAAGGGGAUUCAGGCCUAGUGAAAUAUUGCCGCUUCGUCCGUCCAGCUUACUGCUAAAGCUGGAAAGGGGGUUGUGAUUUGACGGCUCAUUGGGCAUUACUGCGGCGCUACGACCGGGGUGUGUCUACCAUGAAGUUGUGCACUCUAAUUUGUGCAUAUGGCACGUGGACCCCGUUGCCGGUUGCCCCACAUAUCAGCGAAAGGAAGUAGAAAGACAGGAGUAACUAGUUACACAUAAAUAUAUUUUUUGACAGAGAGAUACUCCCUCUUUAAAGAAAUAUACAAAUCUUUUAUAUCACAGACAGGCUCACCUUGCCGAGAAAUAUACUCCCUCUGCAACGCACGGGCAUUAUGGGGGUUCAGCUUUUUUAUGGGGGUUCAGCUAAGAAUAUAAUACUUAGAUAGGCUCACGGUUCUGGUCUUUGGGCCGCAGGCCGACCCUGCAUGUUUGGGGGCCCAUGUGUUCUACCUCAGCGCUUUUCAUAUUGCAAGCGAUCGGUACGGCGCUGGUUUUAGAUGCUGUCGCAAGGCGAAUACACAAAAUUGAAUAAAGCACGGCAGCUGUUGGAAUGAAAUCGUACGACAGUUCCUAACCAGCAAUCAGAGUUGCAAUUCUAUCAACGAUAUACCAUGUGAUAAAUAAUACUGUCGUACUACUUAUACACACAGGACAUUUGUUUCACCAUGCCAGAUUAUUACAUCAAAAUCUCUCGGAGGAUAGAUCAGUUCGGCAGUUGCAUGCUGCUACUGAAGAAUUUCAAAGUUGAUUUGGACCAGCUCUCCUUGCUGAGAAAGUUCGAUUUUGACAUCAUCCCCUACCGCAAGGUAUGAUUUAGAUUUGAACCUUGACCAUCCUUUAGCAUCAAUCAUCAUGCGACCAUCCUUUGUACUUACGAUAUAUUGAGCAGGUUCAUUCACACAAAGGCUGCGCAUGGUAAGAGAAACUUGGCCGCGGUCGCCCGGAUUGUUGAACGACUCCCUCGUUGCUCUAGGUAUUCUCUGUUUGCAAACAAGAAGACAUACCCAAACAGUUAGAUCAACACAGUGAAUCAUGUGAAACAACAUGGAAAGAAAAAAGAAUGAAGCACUUGGGCGGCCAAUGCUUACCAAGAAGGUGGACAUGUCAGUUUUUCUAAGGACUUUGGUAUAUGAAGUGCGAACUACAGCCCAGUCUGUUGCCGGUGCAACUGCACGGGCCAGAGCAGAUGCAAGUGCAAGUGUUGGUGCAGGUGCUGAAGCCGCUGCUGCUGCCGGAGAUGGUGCUCCUUGUAGAGCUGGUGCAGGUGUCGGAGCAGGUGCCAGUGUCGAUGCCCGAUCCUCCGGUAGAUCAGACUGAUCCGCUGACGCGGUCGGUGCCCAAUCCUCAGCUGGAUCAGACUGAGCUGCUGCCGCUGUCAGUGCUAGAGCAACUGUCGGUGCUCGAUCCGUUGCUGAAGGUGGUACCGAUGUGCGAGACAGCGGCGAUCGUGUCUGGUCUGCUAUGAUCAGCUUUCUAACUUGACUAGGAUCCGUGACCGUGAUCCAUUUUUUUCUUCAUUUCCUUUAAACGCGAGAAGGACUAAUUGUGGUGUUUCUGUUAAACCAAGCUGCAGUUCAUCAUAGGGAUUCAGCUUGUACUCAGACAACAAACUAAUCCAAUUUUUUCCAGUAAUAUAAGUGAUGGACAGUGCCUUUGUUACUGACACGACAUAAGAAGUGAAACCUGCAAAAAUAGCCAUCGUAGAGCAAACCAAACGUUUUGUUCUAUGAUGAAUGUCACAUGGCAAAACCUGCAUCGUAAAAUUGCAGGAAAAGAAAGAAAACAUGACAUUAAAUCAAUAAGAUUUACUUGAUGUGACACGAGUGAAUCCUUACCAGGAAAUCACUAUGUUGAAGUACUAAACAGAAGAUUGAUCGUCCAACUACGGGUGGCAUGCAGGGGCCCCGCCUACUCCCACAAGUAGGACAGUCCAAAGGUCGUGACAAAUCGUAUGGACCGAACAUCCAUGGGACUGGAAAUCCUGGUGGGUGCGAUAAACCUUGCAAUGCAUACAGAUAUUGGAGUGUAACCAUAAUUGAUAAACCGUCCUCACAAAAAUAUGAUCUGGAUACUUCAAAAUAUACAUACUGAAUUGAGUGGACAGACAUUAACAUAGACCAUUCUCAGGACUGACCACACACCAAAAGCGGCAGUACUAAUAAACAAUACAGGGUUCACAAACACAAAUCAAGUACUGAACAAUAGUACUUACUACAGCAAGCAAAGUUGCACUAACUAAACUCUGCAGACUAUUUCUUGCCACCGACCUACGGGAUGAAGCCCGCAUAACUGACUAGGCUAUGGACUUCGUGUGAGAUGUCUACAUGCACCAUCACCAUCUUGUCAACCUUGGAGAACCUAACAGAGUGGUCUUUCCACUCAUAAACAUGAUGAUGAAGACAGGCCGCAUCAGAUUUGUUGGGAAGCUUUACAAGAACCACACCCUUCGUAAUCGAAGGCACAGCCAGGAAAUUGUUGUGGUCAAGUACAGCCUCGAGAACACGCCUGACAACAAAGCUACAGGAAAACACUAGUUCAGGACACGUGGCGACAAAGACACAGCAGCUGGAUAGUUAGCAGUAGAACUCAUCAUCAGGUCUUCCAGUUCACACGGCAUGACUUUGAGAACUUCAUCUCCACUGCGGACCUGGUUCUAAUUCAAACAGAAACCAUAUUUUAUUACUACCUUUGUUCAGAAAUAUAAGAUGAUUUUCGAUAUUAUAUUCCAUAAAGUAGUUGAAAGGUAGCAUUGAUGUUCAUAAAGUACUGAGGCAAAUAUACCCUCUUCAAAGGUUACAAGUUACUGAGGCAAAUAUACCCUCUUCAAAGGUAGCAUUCAUGUUCAUAAAGUACUCCCUCUGUCCCAAAAUUCUUGUCUUAGAUUUGUCUAGAUACGGAUGUAUCAAGUCACAUUUUAGUAUUAGAUACAUCCGUAUCUAGACAAAUCUAAGACAAGAAAUUUGGGACAGAGGGAGUAGUUGAAAGUAAUCUAUAAGAAAUCAGUGUCAACCUCUCGCAUGUUUUGGUCAAAAGAGGAAUUUAGAACCGUCAUUUGGCACACUAAAAUCACAUGCAAGAUCACCCAGAAAGUUGUACUACCAGUACUAGUACUGCGUGUUAGAUGAAAAAACACGAUCAAGAUCGAGAAAAGGAUCGUCAACAAGAGACAUUACCUGUACUUGCUUAAUGAGGGAUCCCGGAGAGGGGGGCUUGGAUAGGGCAAUGGCUUUGAGCUUGUCUGUGGUAGUCUCGGCGGGGUGCUUGCGCUUCUUCAUACCAUGAGCCUCGACGGUUUUGGCCAGAGCCAUAGACAUCACGUCGGCCGAUGCUCCAGCAUCCAUCCAAGAGAGGAAGCUGAGAGAGAAGAGUGAAAGGAGGAACGAGAUGAGGGAGAAGCGAAGCGAGUGGGGGUUUUCUUCAAGAGAGGAAGCUGAGAGAGAAGAGUGAAAUGAUGGUUGCUUCGUCCGACCAACUUACUGCUGGAAAGGAGGGGGUUUUGUGAUUUGACGGUUCAUUGGGCAUUACUGCGGCGCUUCGAUCGGGGUACUCUACCGUCACUCUACUAUGGAGUAAUUUAGUGCAUGGCUGGUGGACCCAGAUGCUGGCUGUCCCACACGUCGGCGAAAGUGAGUAAUUUAGUGCAUGGCUGGAGGAGGAUCCGCACGGUAGAGCGUGUCCACUGUUUUUCUGAAGAAACAAAUGAUUACAGCAAGCGUUUCCACUCUUAUGAAGGAGGAGUGCGAAACACGGCAGCCACUUGAACAUACACAGUGCUCCUACUAUUAGGCAUGUGCAGUGGUUCAUACGUCAGUACUACACAAUCUUGUUGCUAGUGUAGUAAGAUAUGACGAUAACAAAUGAUGUUGUGCGCAUGUCAACUACUCCUAUAUGUAACAUAGUACCGCUUUUUCGACUGUCCGUUCGAGAAUGAACGGUGAGAUCAAUGUUAACAGAAGUAGGUCCACAGUGCACGGAGAGUAUGGUGCUACAGUACUCCACGAAACAUGAACCAUAUGAAGCACGAAUAGUGUUAGGCAGGGUGUAUGAAGGGUGCACGGGAUGGGAGCAAAAGUUCCCUUCUCGACCCACUUUUGGGUGUUUGGCCGAGUGCAUGAAUGGUGCAUGAGUCCACACUAGUAGGUUGACAAAAACACACGAAGAGGAAACAACUAUAUUGAGAUGAGAAUGCAACCAAACACACCCACACGCUUUGUGCUACAGUGACUGAUCUGCACCGUCUGAGUUUGAUCCAACGGUCAUGUUGCGCCGAGACAUGGACAUGCCCAUGAAGAGGGCGCCUAAACACCACCGAAGUCCCUCUGCUUCUCGAGGCGCACGACGUUGGUGAUGCAGGGUGCAACCGCCCGCAGAGGUGGCUCCCGGUCGACGGGAGCCAGCUCGUCAAAGAUGGCGUCCAAUGGCACGAAUGGAUUUUAGUGACGGAACCCUGAAAGGAUUCGCCCGGCAACGUCGACGACAGCCCGCAACCCCUCCUUGUCCAGCUCAGCCCCCACCAUCGCGCGGAGACGGCUCAGCUCCUCGGAGAUAUGGGUGAAGAAGGAGACCAGGUCAGGAAGCCGCAGCUCGUUGAAGUCGACCGGGUGGUCGAACGGGUUUAGCCCGACGGCCGGCAUCGUCACACUGGCAUGACGGUAGGCAUCGCGCAGCCGCAACACGUGCGUGGCAACUUGGUUCACCAAGUGGCUGAGGCGAUACUGGACCUCGUCACGAUCGGCCCGCUCGCGCUCCAGCUGGCUCCCCUAACGGCCUAUUGUAUCUCCCGCUUUCUGUAGCAACGCCGCCGAUGCCUCGAGCAUCUUUGUGGUGGACGCCUGCCGCUUUUGAAGCUCCGUGAACUCCCGCACAUAACGGAGGAGCAUGGCACUCCUAUCCUCCUUGAGCUCACGGAGCUCCACGUCCUUGGCCCUGAGCUCCGCAUUCUUGGCAUGGAGCUCCUGUGUCAGGCGCCUCACCUCGGACUCCGUGAUCUGCUGCGCCCCCAUGGCACCAGGUAGAAGCAAUGGGGAGAGGAAGCAAAGGGGGCGAAACGGCUGAAAGGCAAUGCAAUCUACGGGAAGGCGGAGGGAGCCAGCCGAGGAGCGGGGAAUCUUUUGGUUUUCACCAUGGUAAAACACCAGUCGAUGACUUCUCACAUCAGGGAGCAGUGGGUUUUACAGGCGGAGUCAUCGUGACUAAUUGUUGCCGCGCCUGCUCCCGUCAAUCAAAAAAUUAAAAAUCCUGUCGCGCCUGCUCCCGUCAAUCAAAAAAUUAAAAAUCCUGCCGCACCCAAACACCAGAGCAACGCCGCGGUGGAUAUUUAAAUUUACCUACCAGCAAGUAGAUAAAAAAAGGGGUGAAAAAACAAAUGUGGCGGCAGCCUAGCUAAUCGGUCGAACUAGCCCAACUAGCUAGCCAUCGUGCUUCACUGAUGUACUCGGCGGGAAAGGUGGUCUUUUGUGAUUUGACGACUCAUUUACUUGCUUCGGCGCUACGACCGAGGAGGACCCAGAAAACGCGCGAUAGGGCGUCCCACGUCAGGAAGAAUAUAUGCGUGCACCACCCGGGAGGACCCCGAAACUGCACGGUAGGGUGUGCCACGUCUCGGCACGGAGGAAAAAUGUGCGUGUAAAAAUAUACUGUAUCACAUGUAGUACCUAUGGUUCGACCUCGGGACCCAGCCAGUCAGUCGAAAACACCCCACUAGUCACACAGCUUCAUCAUGCAAACGUGGCACGGAGGAUAGAUGUGGUUAACCCCGUCUCGACCAGCCACAACAUCUCUUGUUCUAGGCGAUUCUUCUAUUUUCCAAACUUUUUUUAGUUGUAAUAACACCACGGCAAGCUAGCGCCGCUCUUCGUGUGUGCCCGUGCAAAGGUUAGAUGAUGGAGAGAAGAGAGAUUGAGAUCGCAGACCUGGGACCCACCAGUAAGUGAGACAACGGUCAUGCACGUGUUGACGAGGCACUCCCUCUACUCUACUCAACGCAAGUAUUGUAUAAAAUCAAGUUAUGGGAAAAAGCCAACAACCGUUGUUGUUUCAGGCUAUUGACUUACGCUUUGUAGUCCAGGUUGCCAGUUCGAAUCUCAUCUUUUAGAUUUGUUAGUUUUAGGUCCAAAUUUCAUUAAUGACAAGUGGGAACCCCGUGUGUUGUUCCGAUGUUUCAGUGUAGGAUGGUUUUUUUGAACAAACACUUUGGGCGGACAAGUGACUGCGCGGUUAGACAAGUGACGGCAUGAGUUACACGUAUUUUGCAAGUUUACGAACAAAAAUGACACCAGCAUAGAAUAUCACAUCCACCCCGCAGCUUAGAUACUAUGGUGAUACGAGUUUUUACACCGUUGGAAGUGGGAUCCAAUGGCUUGGGAGUAGUCUUUGUAAUUAUGCGCAAUUUCCAAACUCUCCAAAGGUUUUUUUUGCAAAUAAAACAUUCAGGCCUCAUGUGUACCGCUGCAUCUUCGAUCCAACGGCUCCCCGUUGCUCAUAUUAGGUGCUCCCCAUAGCUUAAUUACCCGCUACGGUGAUAUGAGCAUCUAGGUCGUAUGAUCAGUGAUCAGAUGGCACAUGCGUAGUACUUGUACUUUCUGCGCAUUUCCCAAACUCUAUCAGCCGUAUAUUGCAAAAACAUUCAAACCUCCUACUGUGGGCCGUUAGAUCUCAGUGAACUCGUAUCACCAUAGAAUCUACGGUGCGGGAGCACCUCAUAUUCUCCCGUGCGAGAAAACAUAAGGUGCUAUCGCAGCUUGGAUGCUACGGUGAUACGAGCUUGGAGGUUGUUUGAUCUGAGAUCCAAUGGCAUCUGAGCAGUCUUUGUGCUUGUAAGCAGUGGCCGAACUCAUUUGGGGCUUUUCUGCCCAAAACCAUUCGAACAACCGAGGAGGUGUUGGGUCACAAAUCCAACGGCUCCGAAGAGCUUGUAUCACCAAAGCAUCUAAGGUGUGGUAGCACAUGAUAUUCUUACAUACAGGAGAAUAUGAUGUCCUCCUUCAUCUUAGAUGCUACGGUGAUACGAGCUUCGAGGUUGUUGGAUAUGGGAUCCAAGGGCAUCUGAGUAGUUUUUGUACAAAUUGUGUGCAAUUCUCAAACUCAUCAAGGUUUCCUGCAAAAAUAUUAAGACACAUCAUGUGAGCUGCUAUAUCUCAGAUCUACAAGCUCCAAGCAACUCGUAUCGGCAUAUAGCAUCUAAGGUAUGGGGGCACAUGAUAUUCUCCCGGGGAGGAGGGGUGGGGGUGCACAACCAAUCGGUGGUUGGGAGGGUGGGGACAAAUAUAAUCUAAACAACCCUAAACAGAGCUCCACAAUUUUAUCUAAGGUCGAGGGGUUGACCCCCGACAAUCAUAGCUCCGCCUAAACACAACAUCUGCAUGUACUUUAGUACUAGACUUAAUAUUCAUGUUUCAGUUUCAUGUUCAUUUUAAAUAUUGAACUGAGGACCAUGGAUGUCUUACAUUUUACUCCCUUCGUUCCUAAAUAUUAGUCUUUUUAGAGGUUUCAAAUGGACUGGCACAUACGGAUGUAUAUAGACAUAUUUUAGAGUCUAGAUUCACUCAUUUUGCUCCGUAUGUAGUCACUUGUUGAACUCUCUAAAAGACUAAUAUUUAGGGAUAGAAGGAGUAUUUUUUAAUCCGUGUCAUACAUGCAUGGUUUGGAAAAAUAGAUGCACUAUACUUAUUGGAUUGUUGUUGUGUUCGUGCGUGUGUGUCUGUGUGUGUGUGUGUGUGGUCAUAUGCUUGGUACAUACAAAGUUUUCUCACCUCCAUAUUGUUCAUCUUUUAAAUUUGAAUUUCAUUGAAAAACUUACUAGGGAUACCAUGAAAUGUGAAAUCCACGUUGAGAUCACUAUAUCACAAACUCACUCUAAUUCAACAACUCGUCAUAAAUCAAUUACCAUGUUGAGAUUAGUAUUUGCAAGGAAAAUACGGGUAUUGUAAUACACAUAGAUUCGUUCGACAAUUUAAAAGGUUCCUUUCGUAUUCUCGAACGGUAGGACCCAACGGCGUACCAGCCAGACCUUGGCUCGUGUUGAUCCUAACAAAAUAAAAAUAAUAAAAAACCGGGCUCGUGUCCUUCGGUGGCGUGCGUGGUACGCACAUUAGGCAACCACAACCAGUCGAGCCUUAGCGUUUCAAGUCAAAAUAUCUGGCGGCCAGAAUUCCAGCCCUAGGAAAUUCCCCUCGUGUCCCCGGUCCAUAAUGACUACCGAUGAACAACGGAGGGAUGCUUUAGUAACUAGACAACGUUACCUACCGUGCCGAGCACGGUUCAAUUCCCUCGGUCGCCGCUCGUCAAGGUCACCUGUCAACUGCAUUGCCUAGUACUACUACUACUACACCAGGAUGAGCACAGAAUUGAGCCCGUUUGUUCGUGCCUAGUACUUGAGUUAAUAUAUCAGGCAAUGCACUGGUACGGAGGGAUUAUCCUUUUACUCUGCAUAUAUAACUUGUCUGAAGUCUAACUAAGCAAAAAAUUUGACCAAAUCCUUUCUUAAGAAAUACAACAGGACAGAUGUACGGCUUGAAAAUUUAUUGCAUGAUGCAGGUUAUGAUAUUGUUUCGAAUCCUGGAUCUUAAAUUUCAGAAAAUCCAAAAGUGAGCAUAAAUUCUUGAAACUGAGCAUGGUCACGUGAUAUGGCACAAAUAUUACUUCGUAAGUUUUUUCUUCAAUUUGAGACAAGCUGCUUAUGACAAGUUGCACAAAUGAAGAGCCAAGGUAUUUUGGAACAAAGACCUGUCACAUUAAGGCGAACGCUUUCACUAUUGAAACCGUGGGCGUUUACGUGCCGCCACGAGUCCCCGCUUCUCAUCGGCAGGUGCCGUCCGAGCAAGCCUGUGAGUCGACGGGAGGCAUGCGAGCAGACCGCUGCGCCGGCUGUCACGGAGACGUGCGAGCAGACCGCUGUGCAGGCUCAUCGGGAGGCGAGCCCUUUGACCAGGCUCCACCGCCCACCAUCGUCCCAACUGCUCCCACUUUUAAUGUCGCCGGCGCCGCAGUUUAAAAUCAACCCCGCACUACCCGAUAUCGCUACAAUCUUCUCUCUUCCUCUCCGAUUCUCCUGUCGUCUACCUCCAACUAGCCUGACCUAAACGUACGCCAUGCCGCAUCAUGAUGGUCUGCCCUUAGUGUUCCAGUUUCCUGAGGAAGACACCCAGCCUGAGUCUCAAGAACAUAAGGCGCUUUGGGACGAGCUUGAACUGGCCUUGCGGGAAGACGCCGUGCCUGUCCCCGCUCCCGUUCCGGCUCCCAUCGCCCGACUGCGCCAGCGCCCAUCCCCAUGGCAUUGAUGGGCUGGGAGCCGCACAUUGCCGCCGAGCUUGAUCCCACGGGGUUCCAUGAGGUCCCCGCCGACUUUCACGCGCCCGUGCACCUGCCAGCGCAUGCGCCUGCGCGUGCACUGACGCGCACGCCCGUGCCGGUGCCCGUGCACCUGCCAGCGCAUGCGCCUACGCGUGCACUGACAUGCGCGCCCAUGCCGGUGCCCGUGCACAGGAAUGUCUCCGUCGCGCCGUUGACAGUGCAUGUCCCCGCGUGGGUGCCAGUGCCCCCCUCAGCGGCAUGGAUGGCCGUCGUCGACCGCUUCCUUGCACCAACGCCAGUCGCCUCCUCCCGCAAGUUGACUCGCUCCGAAGUCCAGAACAUUUUGGCCUUCCUUGAAGCUAGGCCAACGUCCAGGAGUACGCCAACAACGACGCAAGACGCCGCCGUCGCCGUCGGUCAGUGGCCCGACGACACACAGAGCACGGCAGAGGAGCCGCUUCCCACCGCAAGACGUCCCCGCCGCCGCCGCGUAAUCUAAAUUUGCCAUGAAAAACGUUUGGAUUGUCAUGCUUAAAAUCCGAACGUUUAUCAUUUCCGUUUAUUUUAUAUCGAUCGUCGUAUAAUUUAAAGUCGGAGUCAGACUAAAUGAAAUCUAUGGUUUGAUCGAUUGAAUGUUCUGCUAGAGCCGUAUCAAAUUAAAUAUAAAACAUCAUCAAGCCACAUGUAUUCCUUGUCAUCCAACAACCUAGACUGCUUCAAUGUCGAGCGCUCAACACGUUUAGCGUGCAGUUAAUUUCAUGCCAAAAAUAGUGCUAAUCACAUAAUAACACGCAAAUAAUAUCCUAGUACUUAAUAUCCGCAUGCACUUAAUAUACUUCCAAAUUAACGUGCAUUUCACGUACACACUGACUAGUGCUGCUAAUACGUGAAACUAGUGCCGUGACUUGUGAACGCGUCCAGAUAUGGUCAACGGCAACAUCGCCCGCGAGUUCUUCGUGUUUGCCCGUGUGUCUAAACGCAGAAGGGGAGGAGAGAGAGCACACAUGGAACCCACCAGUAAGUGAAGGCAAAUAGUACUAAAAAUAAUAUUACAUGUUAUCCAUUAAUUAGGCUGUGGUAAUAUAAAAACAUUAUGUGAACAGAGGGGGGUACAACAAACAUUGUUGUUCUACGUAUGUUGCCUAUUGACGUGCGGCUUGAAGGCCCGGUCGCAUGUUCGAUCCUCGUCCUUUAUUUUUUAAUUUGUAUAUGGGUCCAAAUUUGUUUCAUGACAUGUGGGCCCCUCGGUGUGUAGUUUUUAGCACUUUAAUUUGUGGGUCGAAAUUUGUUCCAUUCCAAGUGGACUAUCGGUGUGUAGUUUUGUAGCUUAUUUAUAAUAAUUAAAGAGAACAACAUAGUUUUUUCAAUAAUACCAUGGUGCGACGUUGAAGGCGAGAAAGGACGUGCGAGAGAGCGAUGACCGAGCCAGAGGGAAAUCAACUAGGGGAAUUGCAGGGGUUACAACGGUGUUUGGAGUAGUUGUGGGCCGAAUGCUACGAAAAUAUAAUCUAAACCGACCGGAAUAAAUGCCUACACAAAUUAAUCCAAGGUUGGAGUGCCCCUCGCAAUGUAAAUAGCUCCGGAUUUGCAAGGGAUGGAGAGGUAGUAGCUUCAAUGCGUGGAAGAUACGGUGUGAGAAAGUGAGGUCAAUCGAGAGACAUAUAGAUAGAGAGACAAAGUGAGUGUGGUCCGACAUUCAUUGAACAAAUAUAUAUGCUCUGGAGAGAUAUUGUCCGAUUGAGCUUUUGGCAAGGGCGAGGGCUGUAAGAUAGAGCUUGAGAGAUGAUCCAGUCACAGACGUGUAGAUAUAUUUUGUGCGUGGGAGGAAGCAAGGUCAACCGAUCACAUAGGGUCGCCGUGCGAUCGAAAGAGUGAGACGGGUUGGAGAGAGUGACCUAGAUAGACAAUGUGCGUGAGAGAGUAUACAAUGUGAAUAGGUCAAAUUGGGCUCAAACAUGGCGAUAUAUCGUUUUUGUCCGAGAAAGAGCGAGGUCAAUCGAGACAUACAAAGAGAGAGAGAGAGAGAGAGAGAGAGAUUGAGUGAGCGUGGCCCACCAUGAGGUCGAAAGAGUGGUGGCGGCUUGGAUGGACUGACCUAGAUAGACAAUCUGCGUGAGAGAGUAUAGAGUGUGUCGAUCGAGGCCCGAACAGGGAGAUAUAUCAUUUGUUUGUGAAAGAAAACGAGGUUAAACGAGACUCAGAUAAAGAGAGCGAGAUUGAGCGAGUGUGGCCCGCCGUGCGAAAGAAAGAGUGAGACAAUCUCGAGGGAGUGACCUAGAUAUACAACGUGCGUGCGUGCGCACGAGAGGUUGGGGGGCUAGAUAGGCAAUGCAUGUAUUUAGCGCGAGAGGGUGAGAGGGAGAGGGGAGAGAGAGAGCUCGGCAUGGGGUGCAAUGGCGGGUGUGUGAGGUAAAUACAUUUGGUAACAGAGUGGAAAAAGGGGUGGUGUAGUUGAGAGACUUAGAGAUCGAAACAUGGAGAGAAAGAAUGAACGUGUGUUGGAAACCGGUAGCUUCCUAAGGUGGUUAGGAGAGGAAGAUUGACCGAUACAGGAAGUAUGUAGCGUUUGUGCGGGGGGGCUAAAAACGACAUUUGAAUGUACAUAGUACGAGACUUAAUAUCGAUGUUUCAAUUCGGUGUACAUUGUAAGAUUUGAACCGAGGACCAUGCAUACGGGUAAUUAUUUUGAAUUCGUGCCAUACUAAGUUUCGAAAAGUUGACAUUGACUCAAUUUGUUGUGCUUUUUUGUAGGUCAUAUGUUUGAAUCCAUCCAAAAGUUUUCUCACUACCAUGGUGUUCAUCAUAUACAUAUGAAUUUGUAUUAAAAAAGUAGCGUGGAUACAGUGAAAUGCGAAAUCCACGUUAGAAUUGGAGAUCGCUACGUGACACACACUCUAAUUCAAAUAACUAAUUAUGUGACACACACUCUAAUCCACGUUAGCGUGGAUACCGUUUCGAUUUUUUUCAAAUAACUCCUCAUUAAUUAAUUUAUAGUACUCCCUCUGUUCACUUUUAUAAGACCUUGAAGACAUUUCAGACAAUGUGCAAAACAGUUCAUUUUAAGUUGUCUGAAACGACUUACAAAAGUGAACGGAGGGAGUAUCUCGUUUCGAAUGACUAAUUAUUGCAAGGAAAACACGGGCAUGGUAAUACAUACAGAUUCGUUUGCAAAUGAAAGAAGAUUCGUUUGCAUUCUCAAAUGUAGGCGCACCAGGCAGACCAGGGUCGUGUCGGGGUGGACGUUGCUUCGGUGCCUUAAGGCACCGAAGCAUAGUCCUGUCACGGUGGUCACGUGUGUCGGACGGACGCGUAGCACCCAGCCACCCACCCCCUCCCUCCCUCCCCCACUCCCCCCCACCCCCCACCCAAAAAAGGACGACGACAAAAUAAGUUCGCGCUUCCAUGUUUCGGAUUGAAAUAUCUGGCGGCCCCAAUUCCAGCCCUACAAAAUCUCUCUUCUCCACCGUCCCCUUCCGCGCCCAGAUUGCUCAAAUCCCUAAUUCGCCGCCAACCGAAGCAAAGUUCGAAUCGCCCCUCGUCUCGUCUCUUUCCCCACCUCUGUGUCGGACGACGACGACGAAGACGACGGUCGCGCUUCACCACCGCACUGGAGCUACCUCAUCUACGCCCUCGUCAACCGCACCGGGUGGUCCACUGACAACGUCGGCCGCCGCAAUCGACGUGCCUCACAGACACCGAGUUCCACCGCAUCAGGUGCGCUUCACCGACGUCGUCUCCCAGCUCACCGAGGCUACUUCACCGAGCACAUCGUCGCACCUCCGCCCCCCGAGGCCGUUGGGGCUUCACCAACGGUCUCAUCCACCGCAUCAUAGCGCUCUGCUGCCACUCAAGAUCUGCAUCCGUGCGCGGCCAGGCAAUGCCAGCGCAUCACCCUCAACGGCUCUGAAGUGACCCGCACUCUAGCUAGGCGAGCAUGCCCAAACGCCGGCCCGAACUAGGUAUCCACACAUCACUCCCUUGUGCACUGUUCCGACGAUGUUUGGAUAUUCUUUCACUGCUCUCUUAGCUUACACGCCUAUGCAACUCUGACUUUAACUCUUAUUUCUUCUGGAGAUAUCAUCUGAAACAAGCAAAUCCAUUUUUUAGCGAAGCAUGACGGCGCUACGGGAUCUGGUACACAUCCUGCACACCCGUAUAACCUUGUAAGUAUCUGUCCUCUGGUACAACAUCAAGAUUGAUUCCUCUCAUUUGAUCAACCAUUCGCCGUGUCAAAAAUGCAGAGGGGGAUGCAAGGAGCACAAGGCCUGCACAUCCAAGAAAGUGGUAACAUGGACUUGUACAUGGAACAUCCCAAGCGCAAGCAGAGCUGCAAUGAGCCUGUACAACGAGCUAGCGUAAGUCCCUGCAUUUCAUUUAAUUUGUACUGGCAUUCGUGUAUGAGUGCAGUGGCGGAUCCACGAAUUCAAGUUACCAGGGGCGAACAUUUAACUUAAAAAAUACGAAGGCACUUGCACUUCGGAAAUCAACAUAACUUGAGAAAUGUGAAGCUACAUGCACUUUGAAAACCAGCUAAUGAUCCAAAGUAGUUCAGAUUAUAAACACUAAAUGAUGCAAGCACCAAAAAACACAAAAUGCAACAUGGUGUACAAGGACUACAAACAUGGUCUGUACCUGCUUGAAUUAUUCGUUCUCUGGCUGAAAAUAUCGAAGUGUGAUUGCACCUAUAACCAGUGCGCAAACUGCAUAUCAAUAUAUCUAUCCUGCACAAGUAUGCCAAUAGUUUCAAACAACAGAUUAGAAAAGUAUUUAUGCUAUCUUGUCAUGAUACGGGGACUUUCUGGUAGAUGGCCUCGAUGUUUCCUCAAGCUAUGAAAAUGCACUAUAAUUUGCUUGUCAUCAAUGCCUGCAAAUCUCUGUCUCUCUCAACAUAGUAGAUCAUCAUUAGACACUAAAUCCUUCAAUGAGCUUGCAAAAUGCUUGCAUUAGCUCCCUCAUUAGACACUAUAUGUUCAUCACCAGGAGCAUGUAAAAUGUUUGCAUCUAAUCCUUCAUUAGCAGUCUGUUCAUUAGACACUUCAAGCUCAAGAACAACAUGAGCUUGUAUGUUGCACCGAAAACUUGAUUAGAUACAUCAGAUUCAGUCAGUUCAGUAUUGAUUGGGGGAGUUAUAAAAUAAGUAGAAAUUGGUUUCAUUUUCUCAUAGAUUCCCUACAUACAAGCAGUUUUACAACACCGUCAGGUUUAACUAUUGGCCAGAAAUUGAAGAGUUGAAUUAGAUAUAAUCAGGGAUGUGAUGUACCUGCUCGUUGCGCAUGCUACUCUUGCAAGUUGCGACUGUCCGUUUGCGCAAGCUCGAUGCCAUGCUCGUGCUGCCGCCGCUGCCUCCCACGCAGGCUACACCCAGGGUUGGAUCUUCAUCUUCUUGUCCUUCCGUUCGCUUAAAGCCCAGCGACCACCCUCCAACGAGGGCGCGAGGAAGUGUUGUGUCGGUCUGUCCAGCGGCGGCUAGGUUAGGAGCGAACCAGACUGGAGGCUGGAGCGAAUGAAUUGGGAUUUUUCCUGCUGUCGAUCGAUAUGGGAGGCGCUCGUUUGGGCUGCGAGCCUGCUAUAAGGCCUGCCUUGCACUUAUGUUAUUGGCCCAUCCAAAUUGAAACAUUUUUCUUCAUUUUUUACAUUGCCUGCUCGUGCGUUGGGACGGAGAGAACUAGCGUGGGCCAACCUGGAUGACUCAAACUAGGUGCACACUUUCCAGCCACCUGAGACGGCCGCCCAUACCAGCCCCUAUGGUGGCGUCGCCCCUUUUCGCGUGUAUGAUUGAAUAGUGAAAAAUAUUCCAGUGGCGCUUUUGAUUUACCCACAGAAUGGUUGAAUUGCUUGUUUCUAUGAACUGAGUUCGCCAAUAAUGUGAAGGAUGCCAGUCUUUUCAUCCUAUUGUAGAUUGCUUAGAUCUCGAUAUGCCAAAAGUAAUCGCAUGAAAUAUACAGUAAAAGCCAGUGUGAUGUGUGUGGCUACAACUAGUCUGACUACACGUCCUCAUAUAACAUAUCAAGGACGCACCAUCUUACCAGAUUAACCAUUCGACUUACCAAUGCAGUGUGGGAAGAAAGAAGUAUUGGGACUGCGUAUCCAAGCAAUUGAUGCCAUGGUACUCCUUCGUACAACCUUGUAAGCGAAAAAGAAGUUGCAGUGUGCAUGUACAAAGAACUAGCGUAAGUUCAGUUACCUGCUUCUCGGAAUUUUAGUUAGCCACUUAUUGCAAAAUUGUUCAAUUACGUUGCAUGGCUUAAUUUAGUUUGCUACUGAUUACAUAAUGCCAUAGCCUGUUAAUCAUAUUGUAGACUGCGCCUAUCUAUGUGUUUGAUACUUACUGUUAAGAAUUACCUGUUUGCCUUAACUUAAAUAUCUACUUGUUUGUUUAACUGCUUUGCUGCUGCAACAGCGGGUUACAAUGAUGUUAAUAACUACUUUUCAGCAUCCAUUGAAACUCUUUAAUUCCUUGUUUGUUUAACUGGUUUGUUGUUAUAACUCCCAGUUGAGAUGUUUUGCUAGCUUCAACUUUUCUGAAUCCAAUCGGAACUUUAAUGGCAAAACAGGUUAGCCCAAGAUCAAAGAGCGAGGUCCCCAUGGACGUUGCAUCAUCCCACAGCAGUGGCACCGGCCCAAUCGUGCAUUAUGAAUUGCCAACUGCUGAUGCUCUAGAGGCUAAACUAGUGGUAGAAAGAGAUUCUGUUUCUGCACUUAGAGAUGAAGUUGACAUGUUGAGGAAGCAAACAGCACAAUCACAAGCAGUACUCAAGACAACCAUUAAAUAUUUGGUGGAUUUCAAAACGAAGCAAGCUGAGACUGACCAGAUUGUUAAGGUCCUGAAGGAAAAAAGGAAAUUAAAUUCCUACUUGGUAAAUCAUAGGUGAAAUGUUCUUUCCAUCGUUGAAUAACCUUUGUGUUGUCUGUUCAUGUAAUCAAUCAAACCAUUUGUUUUAGAGAUCAUGUAAUAAUUGUUUUUUUUGUUUGUAAUUUUAUUUGAGCACAAGUCUGUAUUAAUUGAUAAGACUCGGAGACAUUUCAUUUGGAUUGUUGCGCCAGACCUACAAAUAUGCCAAUCGGGCUGAAUGUGCAUUCAACAAUAGUAGUAGUAUAGAUGGACCAUAAGUGGCACGCAUCGGAAAGGGCCAAGAUGCUGGCUAAAAAAAGGAUGUUGUUGUAGCCAAAAAAAGUACAGCGGCCUGGCUUAUGUAUGUUAGUUGAUAUUAUUGAUCCAUAUACUCUAUAAGUGUUUAUAUGUCUGUUAGUUCUGUACAUUCUUGGUUGAUUGACUCGGUAUUUGAAUCUUGAUACAUCGCUUGUGUACAUAUCCAAAUGGGAGUACACAUUAUGCUGCGUGUGACAUUUGAGUUGGACAUGAAGUGUUCCAAAUAUUCGAAUUCACCUUAAACUGGAUUCUAGCUUCUGAAUUUGAGUAUCGGCAUUUGUAAACCAUAUUCAUAUAUGACAGUGGAAUACAUCUUUGUCGUCCUUUUGAAGAUAUAUAAAAACACAUAGAAUGAUUUAUAAAGAUUCAUAUAGGAAUACAAAAUGGAUUCGAAUUUAGUUGCCAGGGUAAACAUGGAUGCUUAUUGUCCCAAAAUUCGAAAGAAUCGGCAAAAUGUCCACUCCCAACGGCUGCCCGAAGCCAAGUGUUUGGGAGAUGGAAAUUACUGUCUACCCAUUACACGUACAAUCCAUCGGCCCGAUUUCCACUGCUCUAAAUAGGGGUAGGUUAGUAACUUCAAUUAGACAUGACACGACCGCCUCUGAGCCCAUUCCGACACGGUGGGCGUCAAACAUGGGCGGCAAAACACAUUUGAUUCAAGCUUGUCCGAAAGACCUCUGUUUCUCCCUCCAUUCCCCAUUCAUACACGGUGGGCGGCAAAACAAACUCGACUCGGCCGAAAUCGAUGUAGGCAAAUAUUUUCAAUAGGGGCAGGUUUGUAACUUCACUCAGACGUGACACAACCGCCCUACCUGUCAGCCCCGUUCAUACACCGUGGGCGCCAACCAUGGGCGCCAACCACCCUCUCCUCGCCCGAAAUCGCUCUGGGAAAAUAUUGGCGAGAUGCGAGAUUACCAUCCUAUCCCCAACCGACGAGACGUCCAAAUUUUAAAUGGGGGCUAAGUUCGUAACUUUCCCAUAUUUCAGACAGGCGCGUCCCAAAAACAUGGUUCCCCGUACCUCUCCCUCCAUUUUCCCAUUCAUACACCGUCCGCGCUAGAACACCCCAUCCCCACACCAGCCUCCGUCCGCCACCCCAUCCAUCGCCGCCGUCCUCCACCACAUCCAUCGCCACCGUCCUCCACCAUGCCGGAGCGCCUACCAAUACCGCGUCAUCCACUGCUAGAGAUGGACGUUUCUCAUCCACGGCGACGGGCCAAUAGCCUUGCAUCGCGUCCUCUCGCUUCAUCGGCGCCGUCGUCCUCUUUGCCGGGGCCGCUCACACGACCUUCUCUUCCACCGCAACGGGACUUAUCCCCCGAUGCACCCGUCUACCGUCGCAGAUCUACUUCAACGCCACCAAUAGCCAUCGCACCCCCGAUGCCUAUACGGCGCCGCAAGAGAGGUGGUACUUCAUAUCUCCUCAACUUUUUGAUCUCAACCAGAAAAUAGAUCUUAACUUGGUUACUCUACUUUCUUUUCAGCUCUUAGAAUUUAGUUCUUAGUUCGAAGCAAACAAUGGAUGCUAAAUAUCAUUUCUCCGGUUUGCGGCUUCAAAUCUGCCAUGGCACAGCCAUAAUACGGUUUAAUUGAUCAUGCUUAGGGUUUAAUUGAUCAUGUUGGUUCCGUGGUGGUUUCUUUAAUAGAAAUCGGAGGGGAAACCCUCUUUUGAUAAAAAAAAUAUGCUUAGAGUUUCCCCCUUUUAUGAUCACUAUACGAUCAGAAUACGUGCUUCGUGUCAUAAUAACACUGCUCCACCCAUCAAGCUAAACAAGCUUAGUUGUUCAAAUACGAAUAUGAUAUUAUUAAAACAAAGUUGUUUAAUUGGUCAGCUAAAUGUUCCUAAAUUAGUUUCAAAAAUGCAUGUUCGCCGCUCGGGUGUGUAUUUCUACAGGGUGCCCACGGUGGGCCGGCCCACCCUGGGAUUUUGGGUCGUCACAGGCCCCGAUUCCCCUCUGUUCUGCUACGCGCUUCCGAUCUCUACUCGCCCCCCAGCCGCCUGCCUCGCCGGCGACUUGCCGUCCCCGGACGGCAUGACUCUAGGAGGAGACGCCGGACUAACAGGAGGCCAGGAGCCGUUCGCCCAACAGCGUCACCGCUGCCCGGGCGCGCCGCCGUGCCUACCUUGCCAGUCCGUUCAGGGCUCAGGUGUGCAGCACCCACCAAGCCAACCCGAUUUAUCCUGAGAUACGUCCUCAACACUCAGCAGCCACUCCUCAUCACCCAUUUUCUAAUUGAUUCAUUACUCAUUAGGCAGGACUGUCAUUAGGGUUUGUUGUGUGCUCAGUGCUACCUACACUUAAUGGUUCAGAUGUAUUUCGGUAAUCUUUAAUACCUCUAAAGUUCACAGGGUUUUCAAAAUUCCAGCCCUCGGAACAGACACUAGUCAUUUUGGAUUGUUGGUCGUAGUGACAUUGACCCAGAUUACUACUGCAAGCCAGGUUUGUUGACAAUUUUACUUGUCUUUCUUACUCAUUCGAUAUAAUAUCCAAUUAUUCACGUCGAUUAGUUGCAAACAAUAAGUGCUAGACAAACUUCUUCAUUCGGAUUUUGGACGGUCUCUUACCGCAGUUACAAUUCUGCAUACUUGUCCUAGUAAGCUCACAAGUAAAUGAUUGAUUCACUGCAUCUAUGCUUGCCUUGUCAUAUUUGUUGUCAAUAUUCUUUUAGGGUGGACCACCCUGUUUCUAAAUACUAGAACCAUAGACAUGAGUGAAUAGUAUUUCUCUAUGUGAUCUCUUCCAUCAUGUGUGGGCAACGAACACUGCAUUGUAUAGAAAGAAAGUGUCAUUUCCAGCUUUUACAUAGGUUUCGAUCUUUUACAUGGAAUACAAUCUGCCUACUUGCUUUGUGUCGCACUACCAACACUCCACCCUUGAAGCUAAACAUUAUGCCACUCAUGAUUGCUUAGUUUAUUUGUUCAAAUACGAAUUUCAUAUGAUUCUAAUGUUCCUACUUCAGUUUUGAAAUGUGUGCCUGCCUGUUAUAGAGACAUAAGGGGUUUGUAUUUCUGUGUGUGGUCUGGUCAGCACGGUUGGGGGGUGAACUUUGCAUAUGCAGGGGUUUAUAGGGAGACACUCUUCGAGUUGAAUCCGCAAUGCAUUCCAUAGAUAAUCUGACUACUUUUUAUGUUUUCAUGAAUCUCAGAUUCUGAACAGCAACAUAAUGAUUAUGAGCUUGCGCGCAUGAAAAGAAUAAAGCAGAACAAUGCCAUGGCUGUCAAACUUGGCAUUAAGGGACUGAAAUCAAGUCUGGAUGCAAUGCAAUGCAAACGCUCUCCACCUACAGAUUCAUGCUCAGAAUAUGAUCCUAACAGUGAUUCUGAGCUAGAGGGAGACCUAAGUCAAUGUAGCUCCCUAGUGGAGGAGUCAGAGGAAGAUGCCCUAUCUUAUUCACCCAUCAAGGUACUUGCUCUGACUUUCCAAGGUUACAUUGCUCGCACAUAUCUUGCAACUGAUGCUUUGCAUUGCUUCUACUUUGUUGAACUGCCAUUAGCUUAGUUUACACAUCGUGUAUGUGAAUACACCCUGCCUAUCCAUUUUCAGUACAUAUUCCAUCUGUCAUCAUACCAUAUUUAUCCAUUCAAAUGUUGUUCUUGUGUAUCAGACGUUCAAAAGGAAGAGGGUGAUUGCUGAUUGUGGAGGAGCACAAGCAAAGUAUUUGGAAAAGGUAGUGGCACCUGAUAAAUAAAAUAGCCCAUUAGGUGUAGUUGCAAUAUCACCUGACCCACAAAACACCCCAACUCUAGCAGACUCUAGCCCUACUACACUGGUCAUUUCUGAUGCCCCAACUCAGCAGACCCCAACUGCAGCAAACAACAUGAUUAUGCCAGUUAACAUAGCACCAGUUGUACAACGCAAAACCCCCAUUCCAGCAAAGAGUACACCAAAUCCAGUUGCCAAAUCCCUUUUCGAACCAGAGAGAGCCCCAAUUGCAGCAAAUCGGACCCCUGUUCCAUUUCUUCCCAGUUUAGAAGACGGAGCUUAUGUUGUUGUCAGGAACUUUGUGCGCAUCUUUCCUUCAUGGAAAGAUUAUACCGCAGACACAGAACAAUUUCUAGUCUUCCUCCGCAACUUACGCGUAAGUAAUGUACUAAUGUUAUUCAUGGUCAUUACUGCAUAUGUUUCUGCUGACAGAAGACACAAGAUUUCAUUCUUUUAAAUAGGCGAGGAGCAAACUGGAUUGUGAUGAUGAGCAAGGGUUGGUUGCGCUUUUUAAGCACUCGUUGAUGAAGUAUCGUUCCUACCUGAGGCAAGCGCACUUCGAUGGCAAGCCUCUGAACGAAAUUUCUGUAAAGUCUCCGGUGCUACAUUUAUCCGACGGUGACUGGAAUAGUCUUGUUACACAUUGGUCUCGGCUGCAGCGUAAGGUACUAUCUAUGAUAUCACAUCAUAAUUUGAACUACAUUUCUGCAUUUGCCUUAAUGUCUCACUUGUACGAAAACUGUUAGCAGAAGAACAUUCGUUCUCAAGGGACCAUAGAAUCUCGCAACUAUACUGCACACUGCAUUGCUCUUGUGAGUACCUCUUGCCCUGUAUGACCAUACUUACUUUCAUAGCUGUUUGAUUAUGUAGCAUCACUGCACAUGUUAGCCUCGUAAUCGUCCAUUUAGUGGACAUUAUAAGAUCCGUAUGGACUCUUACAUAAAUUUAGAAUCAACCCAAUGCUUUUGAAGAGGUUUAGCUCUGCAGUCCUCUUGUAAGGACUGAACGUGGUCUAUCACUGUACUUACAUUAACAGCUACUCCCUCCGUCCCAUAAUAUAAGAACGUUUUGUACAGUACACCAGUGUUCAAAACACUCUUGUAUUAUGGGAAGAGGGAUUGGUUCAUUUUGUAGCAUUCUGUAUCUUAUCUCCCUCGCCCACCAUUUACUAAAAAAGAUAAGAUCUAUAUUUAAUCUUACCAACAAGUAGAAUACACAGACAAUGCCAGUGCAGAAGUGUAGCCCAUUGCUCUUGUCAGUACAUUUUGUCCUGUAACGCUUGUACUUCCAGGGAUUGGUAGUUGAUUAUGUAGCAUCAAUCUGCAUCUUAUCUUCAUUAUCCUCUAUCCCUUCCAGUAUUAUCAUAUCUAUAAUUACUCUCUACAAAAUGUAGAGUACAGGCAAUGCUUAUGAAGAAUAUUAUGUGCUAAAAUUCUUGAGUUAUCCUUCCCUUGACAUGGAGAAGGGCAUUAUAAAGCCGGUGUUAACUGUUAAUGUAAGUCAGUCCUUCUAAAGCCUUUAUCCUCAACUGCUGUUUAAUUUGCUCAUACUCCCUAUCGUUUACUGCUAUUUAGUUUGCUGUUUCUACCAAAAUGCAUGUUCGCAAGAACCGUAAGUUCUAAGUUUUACUUGUAAAACCAAAUUCCUUAUUCAUACCAUGCACAUUACUUAAUACUCCCUAUAUGUAUGCUUGUUUUGUGGAUCUAUAAUCUAGUGUGUGGUGAAGCAGCCCACGUUUGCACCUUGUCAUCUCCUGUUUUAUCUUACUGAUGUGGCUGAUGAUAUGAACAACAUGCCAUGCACAUUAUCCAAAAUAGAUACAAUGAUUUUCUUUGCCCUUCAUCUAUGCUUGUUAUGUUGACAUGGUAAUCCAGUAGUGUGGUGAAGCUCCCCGCAUUAUGAACAAUGCCAAAUUAUGCUAUUGAUAUUUUGAACUUACUCUUUAUUUUCUAAUUUGAAAUUGGAUGGAAUUGACAGCACAGUUAUCAUCUUUGUUUAUACACGUGCAAAACCUGUCAUCUCUUUGCUUUGUUUCAGGGUGAUAUGCCUGAUGGCAUGCACAAGUCUGCUGAAGGUUGUGAGACAAACCCAACAUAUAUUGCAGCAAAGAAGGUAAAACAUCUUGAAGAUAGCGAGACAACCCCAAAGUCUUGUCUUGAUGCAGUGUUCACGUUACUUGAGACUAACAGUCAGACAAGCUCACAGAAUUCGUUGUCUGAAUCAGUUCGAGUUCUUCAGUCCCAAGUUCUAGCAGAAAGGCAUUCUGCAACUCAACUUCGACUUGAAGUCCUAUCUCUAAGAAAGAUUGCGGAGAACACGAAUGAGAACCUCAUUGCUAAACAGCUACACCUGGAAGCUAUGAUCGACAUGCUAGGCCGGUCUCAUAGCCUUGCUCAGCAGCUUGCGCAGCGGUUCCCCCGCGAGGCUAACCUUUCUUGAACUGUCUUGGAAGUGGUCUCGAUUCAGUAUUAUUUUGUUACGCUGCAAUGGUGCCCAGUUUUUGUAAUCUGCUUCUUCGUUGCGCUUUAUGAUCACUGGUGGCGAACAUCGAUGCCCAGUGGAUGUAAUAUACCUUAAAUCCUUUAUUGUAUAGUGUAGGUUUAUUCUUAGUUACUAUGCCGUAAUUUCUUUAUUGUAUAGAGUAGGUUUGUUCUUAAUUCCUACUAGUUACUGCCAUCAUUCGCUAUCUGAAAAAAAUCAGAUGUAGUCGACCGGGCCAAAACAUUCGACUCUAACGAGCCUGGUUUUUAGCGGGCCACAAUUGGGCCGGCCUGCGUCUUUCUUGGGCCCGAAUGAUUGGGGCCUUUUCACACAUUGCGCCAGGCCCAAACUUACACCGGCCUAUAUUUUAGUUGGGCCUUUUGUCGACCCAGCGCUUAGUUUGGCCCAGGUAGCGUUGGGCCAUUAACAGGCUGAAUAUUGUACUGGCCUGUUACGGCCGAGAUGAAACCACGGGCCUUUAGCAGGCCAAAAUGCAUGUUGGGCCUCAAUUUUCACUAGUCGUCGACGGGCCUUCAGCAGGCCGAAAUGUAGACCGGGCCUUUUUGGGCCCAGUUAGCUCACGGGCCGUUACCAGGCCGAAACAUAUCUCGGGCCUUAGUUGGCCCACUGAUAUCAUGGGCCUUUAAGAGGCCGAAAGCUUAGUACAGGCAUCAACGGGCCGAAUUACGCGACAGGCCUUUAACAGGCCCAAAGUCACGUUGGGCUUAACUGUUGCCACCUUUAGCACGGGCCGUUAGUGGGCCCGAUGUCCCGUCGGACCAUAUAUGGCCCAUGGGCAGCACGGGCCAUUCCCAAGCCGAAAGUCACACCGGGCUGAAAUGGGCCCAUGUCUACAUCAGGCCUCUAACAGGCCGAAAGUCACUGGGCUGUAGUUGGGCCCAAAUAUUCGGCGAACAAUUAACGGGCCAGAUCUGGCUUCGGGCCGCAAAUGGGCCCAAAUAUUGGGCGAACAAUUAACGGGCCAGAUCUGGCUUCGGGCCGUAAAUGGGCCCAAAUAUUGGGCGAACAACUAAUGGGCUAGAUCUGGCUUCGGGCCGUAAAUGGGCCUUUAUUAAGCAGGUCGUUAUUGGGCUGGCCCACUAGUACCUGAUUAAGUACUACGGGCCUUGACUGGGCCGGCCUUUUUAACCUAUAUGGGCCUCUGUUGGGCCCAACCACGUGUCGACGUAUCAUAGGCAUGUCUCCUCCAAUGGACGGGCGACAUCUGGCCCACUAACGAGCUGACAGGUGUUCCCUUUGGCCAAUCAGAAUUUUACACGUGGAAAUUUCCCAUUGGUCAGGGCUGUUAACGGGUUAUCGGAUCCAAAAUCCGACCCGAUAGCUUAACGGCGUUCCGUUACGGUGGAUGCCACGUGUCGGUCACCCUUGACGAAAGCACUUCUGUGACACGCGAUUUAUCGUCAUGGAAGUGGACACUUCCGUGAUGAUAAUUUUGGUAAUGUCAUGGAACACUUCUACGACAGCACAGGUAUGACUAUCUUGAUUCUGUCAUAAAAUCGUCAUGGAUGUACAUGCAUGACAAAAAACACGACCUACUGUGACAAACACGUAUCAUCACGGAAGUGUAUUUUUUUGUAGUGGAGCGACUCGAUGAAUUGCGGCUUGAUGUCGGCUAGGAUCAGGUCGUUUGCUCGCUCCACCUGAUCGUUCGACUGGGGGUGCGCAUGGAGGCUAGGUCAAGUUGGAUGCCGGAGACAGAGCAGAAGCGGGCCUACGCGCUCUUGGAGAAGUUGGUGCCAUUGUCGGUGAUGAUGUUGUGGGGAACGUCGUAGUGGACCGUCGUAGUGGACCGUGAUGUCUUGGAUGAACUUGACGGCCAUGGGCCCGUCGAGCUUCUUGAACGGCCUUGCCUCAAUCCACUUGGUGAACUUGUCAACAGCCACCAACAGAUGUGUCAUGCCGCCUCGAGCGGUCUUGAAUGGUCCCACCAUGCCGAGGCCCCGGACGGUAAAGGGCCAUGUGAUGGGGAUAGUCUCGAGAGCCACAGUCGGCUGGUGGUUGCGCAUACUGAAGUGUUGGCAGCCCUUGCACUUGAGGACCAGCUACUCAACAUCCUUCAGGGCCCUGGGCCAGUAAAGACCGUGGCGGAAUGCUUUGGCCAGGAGGGCCCUUGAGGUGGCGUGGUGCCCGCACUCGCCCUGGUGGAUGUCGCAUAAGAUCUUGAGCCCCUUGUCCAGCUCGACGCAGCGCUGGAAAACGCUGGUUGUGCUAUGCUUGACGAGCUUGCGGUUCAUGAUGUUGUAGGCGGAGGCCCAGCGUUCCACUUGUCGGAUCGCGGCUUCGUCGUCGGGGAGUCCCCGCUCACCAAAAAGGUGACUAUUGGCUGCACCCAGUAUGGUCCCUCCACCACCGUGAGGACAGCAGCUUGAACGAGGUCUAGAGCAGCAGUCCCCGAGCCAGAGCCGGCAGCCCCCAGGGCUAGUUCGGGGCCGGCAGGCCCUGGGACCUGGACGACAGUCCUCGAGCCAGAGCCGGGAGCCCUCAAGCCGGGUGUGGGAGGCGGCAGGUCGGCCGGGAUGAAGAUGGACUCCGAAUCAGGAGACAACUUGAUGGAGGGCUCGCGCAGGUGCUCAAGGGAGACGCCAAUUGGGAUGGCCUGCCGGCUAGAACCUAGCUUGGCCAGCAUGCCGGCCACCUCGUUCUCGGCCCGAGGGACAUGGAGGAAUUCACAGCCGUCGAAGCCACCGGUCAUCUGUUGGACCAGGUUGGACCAGGAAGCAGUAGCUUGCCAUCUUGGCGUCCCUGGCGUCCCAUUCGCGAGAGACUUGCUGCAUCACCAGGUUGGAGUCGCCGUAGCAUAGGAUGCGUCGGGUGCCGAUCUCUUUGGCCACCCGGAGGCCGUGAACCAUGCCUUCAUACUCGGCAACGUUGUUGGAGGCAGCGAAGUGGAUGUGCAGCGCGUACCGCAGUCGGUCGCCCUUGGGGGAGGAGAGCACGAUACCGGCUCCCAAGCCAGUGCGCAUCUUUGAGUCGUCGAAGUGCAUGCGCCAGUGCGUCGAGUCGGGAGCCGACGGAAAAUACUGGGUCUUCGCCCAGUCAAUGAGGAAGUCAGCCAAGGCCUGGGACUUGAUGGCGGUGUGGGGCUCGUAGAGGAUUGUGUGGUUGGCUAGCUCGAUGGCCCACUUGGCCACCUGGCCGGAUGCAUCACGGCAGCCCAUGAUUUCGCCAAGGGGAGCCGUGCUCACCACGGUAAUGGUGUGGUCCUGGAAGUAUUGCUUCAACUUCUUGGUGGCAAGGUACAAGUCGUAGCACAUCUUCUGGUAGUGGGGUAGUUCUGCUUGGAGAGGGAGAGGACCUCGCUCAGGUAGUACACAGGGCACUGGACCGGCUACGCCUUGCCCUCCUCUCGGAGCUCCACCACCAGCAGCACCACGCUGACCACGCGGGAGGUUGCCGCGAUGUACAUCAGCAAGGGCUCCUUCUUAGCCGGCGUGGGAAGGAUGGGUGCGGUGGAGAGCAUGCGCUUGAGGUCAUGGAAGGCCUCAUCCGCCUGGUCAGUCCAGUCGAACACCAGCGUCUUCUUCAUUAGCUGAUAAAGGGGCAGGGCCCUCUCCCCCAGUCGGCUGACGAACCAGCUAAGAGAGGCCAAGCAGCGGUGAACUUUUGGACAUCGCGCAGCUGAGCAGGCUUGCUCAUGCGCUCGAUCGCCUUGAUCUUCUUCGGGUUGGCCUCGAUGUUGUGGCUCCAAGACGAGGAAACCAAGGAGUUGGCCAGCUAGCACGCCGAAGAUGCACUUCUCUAGGUUGAGCUUGAUCUGGAACCGAUGCAGGUUGGCCAUCAUCUCCUUGAGGUCAGUUAGGAGGGUGAGGUGCUGCUUAGUCUUCACCAUGCCAUAGAGAAAACCGAUACUGCCUGUGCGACGGAUUUGAUGAGCACUUCUUUUCCUCCCGAGGAUAAAAUCUUUUCCAUCCACCCUUUCACCUUGUUCCAAACUCUUUCCUUAAGGUAUCUGAAUGCCCUGUUUUUGCUGCUUCCAACAUCUGUAGGCAUACCAAAAUAUUUUUCAGACAAACUUUCAUUUUGAACAUUAAGGAUAUUUUUCAUACCAUCUUUCACUUCCUGCAUGCAUCCCUUACUGAAGAAAAUCGAGCACUUCGAUAAAUUGAUUUUCUGCCUAGAUGCAUAGGUUUCCAACAAUGAAGAUACCAGAGUAGCACCCUCACUACUAGCCUUGACGGACAGCGGGCUGUCAUCGGUGAAAAGUAAAUGGCUUACUAGCGGAGCCAUUUCUGCCACUUUGAUUCCAUUGAUUGGCGAUGACUAAUUCUGACUUUUAAGGAGGCACGAAAGGCCCUCUACUUCCAACAAGAAUAGGUAAGGUGCUAUCGGAUCCCCCUGCCGAAUUCCCCUUGUAGGUGUGAAUUGCUCCAGUUUCUUCCCAUUAAACAAAACUGAGAACUUAACUGAGCUCACCAUCCUCAUUAUUGUAUUAACCCAAACUGGUGCAAAACCCAAUUUGGUCAUUAUAGCACGCAAAUAUUCCCACUCCAGGCGAUCAUAAGCCUUCAUCAUAUCGAGUUUCAAAGCACAUAAACCAUUAUUCUUUGACUUAUCAUGUUUCAUAAAAUGGAGCCACUGCUCGUAGGCCGAGAUGAUGUUAUCAGUAAUGAGCCUCCCCCCAACAAAGGCCGACUGCUCCUCGGAUAUGAUCUCUGGAAGGAAGAUUUUUAAUCUAUGUGCCAAAACCUUAGAAGCAAUCUUAUAGAGCACAUUGUAAAGGCUUAUAGGGCGGAACUGUGUCAGAAGAGUUGGGUUCGUUACCUUAGGGAUAAGGACCAGAAUUGUAUCAUUCAACUCAUCCACUUCUUCUUCGCCUCUUAGGAUUUUUUAAGAUAAUCAAAGUAAUCUCGUCUCCGCACAUGUCCAAGUGCCUUUGAAAGAAGUGUGCGGGGUAACCAUCUGACCCUGGCGCCUUAGUAGAAGCCAUUUGAAAGAGUGACGUCUUCACUUCCUCCUUAGUAUAUGCCGAAGUCAGCUUUUGAUUCAUCUCAUCGGUCACCCUACAAGGAACAACAUCGAUAACCCUGUCCAUGUUUGAUGUACCCUCUGAAGUGGAAAGGCCACGAUAAAACGUCGUAACCAUACUCUCCAUCUCAUCUGCGUCCGCUGUUGUGGUGCCAUCUUCCCUUAGAAGGGUUUUUAUUUUGUUCUUCAGACGCCGUCUGUUGGCGUGCAAGUGAAAAAAAAUGGUGUUUUUGUCUCCUGCCGCCAGCCAGGUUAUGCGUGCCCUCUACCGCCACAUCACUUCUUCCCUAUGAUACAACUCGACCAAACGAUCCUUGAUUUUUACUUCUAUUCGAGUCCGUUCUAUCCUGCCAGGAUCCGCUUGAAGCCCUUCCAGCUCCAAGUUCAGCCGCUUAAUCUCGGCCUUGACAUUACCAAAUGUGGAUUUGUCCCAUCAUGUAAGGCCCUUUGAAAGAGCAUUAAUUUUCGCACGCGGACCUACAACAAUAGUUGCGCCAGGUCCUUGCCAGUGCUGUUGUAUUUCCUCCUGAAAGCCUUCAUGGGACUCCCACAUGAGCUCAUAUCUGAACAGUUUAUGAUGGCCCUGUUGCACAAUCUACUGUGGACAGGUGGACAGGAGUAUCGGACUAUGAUCGGAUGUGGCUGCCACUUUGUGUAUGAGCUCAGCUUGCGGAUGUAGGCUGCACCACUCACCGCAUGCUAAUGCUCUAUCGAGACAUACUCUUGUAUAUGUGCCUCCUAUAACUCUCUUCUCAAAAGUCCACUUCGGUCCCGAGAAGCCUAGGUCUGUCAGCCCGCAAACAUCAAUAGCUUCCCGAAAACCAAGCACAUGCGUCAUACUGCGAUGGUUGGCACCGUCGUACUCAUCUAGCCUUAAGACUUCAUUAAAAUUCCCAGUACACAUCCAUGGUCGAUCACUCUCCGAAGAUAGAGAGCGUAACAGGUCCCAUGUCCUUCCUCUAUCUCCGACCUUGGCUUCUCGAUAAACGACUGUCAACCUCCACUGCGUCUCACCCGUCAGAGUAACCAAAAGUUUCCAACUUUAUUGCAUUAUUCCAGAAAAUACUUUAUUGCAUUAUUUCAGAAAAUACCAAGACCACCACUUAUACGAGAGCUACUAACAGCAUAAGAAUUAUCAUAGCCUAGUGUACUUGCUAAGCUUUCUACUCAAACUUCUGACAGCUGAGUUUCUACUAUGCAAAACACCGUCGGAGCAAAUUGCCUCGCGAAGCCACGAAGCUCUCGAACUGUCUCGGGUUUGCCUGCCCUGUGAUAGUUCCAACAGAAAAUACUCAUUGAGCCCAGCGGCGCUCCUCGUGGGAGCCUGCCAACUCGCUCUGUGAGUUCGUCGUUUUCUUGGGUGACGUCCCCUUCUUUGGUUUCUUCCUCUCACGAGGUGUGAGGUAUGCAGGGGGUGGAGGCGGAACCGAGCCCGUGUUCCCCUGCUCAGCGACUUGUUAUGGCAUAACCUGUGCAUGCACGUCCCCAUGUUUCUCUUCCAUGUCCGUAGCAGGUGCAUCGUCAGAGAGAUCAAGCUUUUUCCUUGCUGAUGGUUCUGAUUGUCCCGGCUGCUGCGGCCGGUCAUCUUUCUUCUCCACUGGGUCAGCUUUCAAGGGGCUUUCAGCAGUAUCAUGCAGGUCUUCCUCCUGCAGUCCCGCCUCCACGUCUUCCACCCCUAGCUUUCCCCAUGCGUGUUGUUCCACCUCUGAUCGAAGUGGAGUUGUUGUUGCUGGCCGAACUGAUUAGACGGGAAGCUCCUCCUUGUGGCCAACAUCCAUUCCCCGUAUUCAAUUUCUUCAGGACCAUGGAUGCCAUUGCCGCACUCCUCUAGAAUAUGUCCCAUAAUACUGCAGACCUCACAGAAGUAUGCGAUUUUCUCGUAUUUAACUGGAAGAAGUAACCUUUCUUCUCCUUUUAUGUUCAGAGGAGUAAAACGAACCAGAGGUUCAGCAACCUUGAUCUUUGCGCGCGCACGCACACAGUUGCCCUCAAACACACUAGAAGGAUUCAUCUCAACACUCUUAACCUGGUCGAUUCUCCGUGCUAGCUGAUCCAGGAUAGGCUCCUUACGAUAAAGCUCUGUGGUGUCAUGGAUAUGUGCCCACACGUGCACACGAUCAAGCUCGACCGCAUUCGGUUUACCUCUUCCAUCAUAUUCCUCGAUGAUCACCAUGAGACCUCUGAAGAUCCAAGGACCUUGGUGCAUAACUCUAUUCCAGUCACCAACACAAAACAUCUGAAUGACAAAGAGGUUGCCAUCGGCCUUGCGGAUCUCAGGGUCAUAAGCCAAACGCCAGAUGAACUUCAUCAUGGCCUUGAAAGAUUCCGCACUAAAGGGUUUCUUAGUGUUGACCUUAGCAACCGCAAGCCAGCGGGCCUCUUUAGCAAAUUGGGAGAUUUACUCAUCCCCGACGAUCACAUCGUCUAGUUCAGAUUCCUUGAGCUUCAUAUUCUUCAUCGCCGUCUCCAAAUCGACUGCGGUUUUUCCCUCCCUUCUGCCCCCUAACGAUCCUCCAGGGACUCCGAAGGAUGAGGAAGCUGCCAUCAUUGUCGAUCCAAAACCCUAACCCCCGCACGCCGUUCCCGACGGAGGGGAAGACCAGGUCAGGGGAUGGGAGGAGUACAGGAAGACCACAACGGCGAAGUAGAGUCGCCGGAGUAGAAAACCCUAGGCGGGGCCGCUCGCAAGCGUUUGUUUUUUACUUGUCGCGAACUUACACUGCACAUUCUGGAUUAGAAGAUCUGGGCCGGCGUAACACUAUAGCCCAUGACGGCCACACAUGGUCAAUUGGAUUUCACGCACCUAAAAAAAUCCCCUCAAAAAACCUCAAUAAAAAAAGCAAGCAGAGCUGUUUCUCUCUCAAAAAAAGCAGAAAUGUUGGGGAGCUUCAGCGAGUUCUGAAUUACUAUUUCCAUAGUUAAAUACUGCAAUGUACAUCUCACGCGGUUAGUAGUACAUAAUACAACAUGCCCCCUCUUGGUAGGGGUCAGUCCCUUGCAUUCUCACAAUGUCAUCACAGGGCUUAGUAGUGAAAUAACUUAACGGCCAUUCAAAUUUACUAACCAAACAUAACAAUAUGCAAAAGACUUCAACAUCUAAAGCCAGGAGCACAAACGUAUUUUGAACUAGUAUUGUCCAUAUGGCAGCUUGAACUGCACCUGCAUCUCAACCCUCCAAGUGCCGCCCAGACAGAAUCAGGUUUUGUGGAGUUGGUUGCAGUAAUUCUGCCAUCUACCAAGACAUUUCUGCAAGCAAACAAAUUUGCGU